rnacentral:lncRNA from 1 species
AAAUAAAAAAAAAAUAAACACGAUGAUGAUCCAUUCUCUCUUCCUCCUCCUCGUCGUCCUCUCUUUCCUUUCCCUGCUUACCAGUACCUUCGGGUCCUCAGCCGAUGAUGCUUCUUCUGCCGCCAAUUGCUCUUCUUCCUCCACCUGCGGCGGCGUCGAGAUCUCCUAUCCGUUCUGGCGCUCCGACGGUCCUCCGUCUUUCUCCGCCGUCCACUGCGGCUACCCCGGAUUCGGGAUCGCCUGCGAAGAAGACAAGCAGCAGCCUAUCCUCCAGAUCGGCUCCGGCCACUCCUACAAGGUCACCAAUAUCGAUUACGCCAACCGCACCAUCAACCUCACCGACAUGGAUGUCAUCCUAGCGACCCCCGACACGAUUGGGUGCCCGAGAUCCCUCCACAACUUCACGUUCUCCAGCGACGUCGCCUCUUCGCUGAAUUACACCGGCGCGGACGCCAACCUCACCUUCUUCUUCGGCUGCCCCGACCCUGCAGGCCUGCAGCCCGAUUUUCCGCACAACGUGAUUCCCUGCCUCGGCUACGAGGGCAACAGCACCUUCGUCUUCCGGAGUGACGACGUCCCGUAUAACUUUACUUUUUGGAGCGGCACGUGCGAGGACGUAGUGGUGGCGCCGGUGCUGCUUGAUAUCCUGGCGACGUAUAAUUUCAGCGAGGCGCUGAAUUACGGGUUCCAGCUGGCCUGGAUGGCGGGCGCUGCCGAAGGGUGCGGGGAAUGCGAGAGCUCCGGCGGGCGCUGCGGCUUCAACCAGACGAGCGCUUCUCCCCUCUGCUUCUGCCCCGACGGGACGCGAGCCGGCGGCGAUUGCCCUGGUAUGUCUUCAUGCCUGCCUGCUCUUUCUUUCUCUCUGUUUCUCGUCUCAUUUCCAUAUUGGCCGCUCCGAAUCGAGAGUCAUCCCUUUAACACCUUCAAAAAAAUUUAAAAGUUGAAUAAAAAAAAAUUUUUAGAAAUUGUAGGGAUGAUACAGCAUGAGACCACUUAAUUAAUUUACCCGCAAAUUCAAGGUUCACACAAAGAUCUAGUUGCACUGCUAUAACACUAGCUUAAAUCAACGGUUAGAACAAGAAUUAGUACGAUUGCACAGCUUUGCAAAAUUGACAGGGCAUUAAUUGUUGAAAGAAAAAAAUGCUUUCGAUUAUUAAUGUCUGUACGAGGUCUUCUGAUAAAUUCAUAAAUCAUCAGUAAACACCAUUUACAACAUCACAAAUUUGAUCGAAUGCAUUUACCUCGGAUUUCAGGGUGAACUGAACAUAAACUGACCUAAAUUAAUCGGUUUGAGAAAAUUAAAUUAAAACUGAACUAAACCACACACUAUGAAAAGUCCAAAGCAAACCAAAUCAAAAUUUUAGCUUUCUUUUCGAUUUGUUGUUUUUUUUUUCUAUUUGAACUGUUGGAUUCUUAAAGGCUGUCUAAAUAAUAUGUCGUACAAAAAAUCAUUUUGUUUUCUUUUUCUUUAUUUCUGCUAUCGUAAUUAACCAUGCAAAUUAUUGCCAUGCAUGGUGCAGGUUAUCAGAGUUCAAAGAAGAGUUGGAGAAAAGGUAAUAGUGUUCAAAACUACCAUUCUUUUAAUUAUUUUUUCCAAUUAAUUAAAAGUGUUGUUUGAUUCUGAAACAUUUGUUCUCUGCUGCGCAUAGAAAAGUCUUUAUUUUUUAAAAAAAAAAUUAAUUGCAAGAUUCUCACUCUCAAUGAUAGAAAAUGCAAUUUUCUUCUUCUCAACAUUUACUUUGUUUUAUGUCCAAAUCAAGCUAAUAUAUAGAUUGUAGCCUAAAUAGAGAAAUGUUGUUUACUUUCCAAACUGCCAAAAUAAUUUCAGUACGAGUUUUAUAGUUAAUGAAUCACAGAGAUUGAUCACCACGUGAUUAAUUUAGAGACAACAUGCUUUUAUAUGAGUCACCAUAUAUAAAUUCGUUCAAUCUCCUCUAUAGUUGCAUGUCAUAAAUUAAAUUUAUAUAUUAAUUCAAUCUCCUCUAUAGUUUAGUGCCGGCCGGUAGCGGCCGUUUGAUUUCACGUAAAACUAUGAAAAAAAAAAAUUCGGUGGUAUUGGUGCAAGAGAAAUAGUGCCAGCCGGCCGUAAGCGGCUUAGAAAGCGUGCUUAACUGGCAUGGACGAAUUAUAAUAUGGUGUGUUAAGAGCCGCUGAAAAUGAGGAGCCCCUGGGCAGGAAGGGAUGAGAAAGUGGGUGAGGAAUGUGGGAGUAAUUCCCACGACCAAUAAAGAAGCGACUGUAGCAUUCCCUAUGACACAAGUCGCACGGUAACUGCAGGCUGAUAGUAAUACUAUAAAUUACACAACGAUACCUGAAAUAAGAAUCUUUCUCCCUUACAAACAAGAAGACUAUUCUUAUUUCAGCAUUUCUCUAUUUUCUAGGAGUAGAACUACUUUUGUAAUCUUUCCUUUUCUACAGUUUAAGAACUUUUCUAGAAAUAGAUAGUGAUUAGGAGUACCAUAUAAAUCUCUGCAAGCUUCUAGUUCCGUCAUAACCUGCUUGGUUCUUUCAGCUGAGUCUGCCUUAUACCUCAGUUUGACAUAUCGUAUUGAGGAAGAACCCGAUUAAGUCGAUCCCUACUCAAUCGAAUUGCUUGAUCGUGUGGCACACUCGAGAGUUAGUCCGAAAACUGAUCUGCCACUAGAAAACUCGUCUGAUUUGUCAACUACUUGACCCGGUCAACCUCUUGAUAAGUUUGGUUCGCUAUCCAAUAGGUGGAAAAAAAAUUUGGAGAAAAACAAAUUUUACGCUCUUUGGUGUUUGUUUUGUCCGAAAAGUAGUUUUCCAUCAUGACUUUUUGCUUGAAAGAAAAAGAUAUAAAUAAAAAAUAUUAUAUGUAUUUUCUCAUAAUUUAUAUUAUAUAUUAUUAAUAUAUAAUAACUAUUAUCUGAUUUAAAUACUUCUACACCGUUAGACUUGCAAAAGAUAUAUAUCAACUAUUAAAAAUUACUGAUUUUGAACUCUUUCGAUCGCUAGGUAAAUGAUAUAAAAAAAUUACAAAAUUUGUUUUCUAGAUACUUCAAAUAUAUUAGAUCAAGCUUAACGAAGUCGAUCGUCGAUUCGGAAGCUCCAUAAUAACAAACGGCUUAGGAGCACGGAGGCCGCCAUGCUCCUAAUAGCACACAAGACCUACUCACUCACUCUCUCUCUCUCUCUCUCUCUCUCUCUCUCUAUAUAUAUAUAUAUAUAGGAUUCGGGCAGAACCAAUGCUUUUAAGAUAUGUGAUAUAUUCACAACCUAGUCAAGGGUAAUAUGAUAAUUCAAAACUGACGUGAUGUCAAAGAAAAAAUUUGUUUUGAUACUUGUAUUCAAAAUGAAAGUGCUUAGAUAGAUCUCACAACACACUACAAUAAAAACGAUGUAUAGCGACACUUUUAAAUAUCGGUAUAAGUAAAAAAAGGUACUAAAUUAUAGGCACUUUUAAAAAGUGUUGCUAUAUAUGGUGUUAUUAGGUAUAUAGUGACAGUUUAAGAGUGUCGGUAUAAUCUAAAAAAGUGCUGUUAAUUUACCAACACUUAUUUAAGCAUUUAGCAACCGCUGGAACUCUACCUCGUUGGCUGCGGUGGCAGAGGAGGAGAGCGAAGGGCUCUUCGUCUAGGAUUUCAAUGGAUUGAGUGCGGUGGCAAACUAAAAAGUCUGAUUUUUUUUUUUCCUUCCCCCGAACUCCUUCAAAAAAACCCUAGUUCCCAAAAAUAAAACAGAUCCAUCUCCUUCCCCCCCAACACCCUCUCCCCAAAAAACCCUAUCGCCUAACAUCUCCAGGAUUUAAAAUAGUCUUAUAUAUAAGAUGUAAUAAGACUAAACAUCUACCUAGCUAUUAUAUUCAUAACCUAGUCAAGGAUAAUAAGAUAAUUCAAAGUUGACGUGAUGUCAAAGAAAAAAUUUGUUUUAAUACUUCUAUUCAAAAUGAAAGUGUUUAGAUAGACCUCACGACAUAAUGUGUUCAAAUCAAACUUUAAUCAUUUGAUAUGGUUUGUAAGAUCUAGAUGGCUUAUAUAUCCAAAAUCAUAACUUUUCAAAAUUCAUUAUUAAGACAUUUAACAAUUGUAAAAUCAACAACAUAGAAAGGUUUGUUGUUUGAUGCACGAAAAGUAUGUAUAAAAUUCGUGAGGUUUCAUUUAUAAGACCUUUUAAUAUUGUGGAUCAAAUUCAAUAGAUUAAUUAAGCUAUGACUGAGGAGCUUCUCAUUUAUUUAUUUAGGUGCAAGCAAUAAGUUCUUUCUCCUCCCUCCUUAAAGAUGGCAGUGGCUAAGAAGUUGCGUAAAUGCCAUAUCAGACCUGCAAUUGAGUUUAUAAAUGUGGCAGUGGCUAGGACUAUAUGUUAGGGCGACAAAAUUAAUUAUUAUGACAAUUAAUUGAUGACAAAAUUUGGUAAUAACAAUUCAUAAAGUUUGAGUUAUAAAUAUGUAACAAAUUAAAUUUUGAGGUCAAAGCGCCAUCACCUCCUAGUUUAAUUUAAGGAUUAUGAAAUUUAAAAUUAACUUAAUGAAAGAUGUAAAAUUAAAGAUAGGUGAUUCAUUGAUAUUCCUGUUAGGCAUGGCAAGUGAUGAAACAAUUUAUUUUAUUUUAUUUUUUUUUUUUUGAGAAAAAGUAGCAUGCUACCACUUCAUUCAUUUAGAAAAUGAACUAGGCUACAAGGUGAGGCAGCCAGGGCCUCAGGGAAAAGGAAAACGGAAACUACACUAAACAAAACUAAGAAACAAAGAAAAAGAUAAGCAACGGGAACAACAGGACUAACUACGGGUGCAGAAACUACGCCACAAGUCUAUGAGUGUUCUAAUCUCUACCAAUAGGUACCCGAGCGGUCGUUUAGUCUUCUCGAAGAUUUUUCUGUUUCUUUCCAACCAGAGUGUCCACCAAGUCGCUGCAAUAGUCGCUAACUCUCUACCCCCCUGUGCUCCUCUGAUGUUGUCGCUCCUCUCCCACAUCCCCUUGACAGUAGCACAGUUACGUACGAAGCUUUUGUUUGGUAAGAGUCUCUCCAGCAGAGCUUUAACACCAUCGCACACUGCGAAUAGGUGGUCCACCGUCUCCAAUUCCUCCAAGCAAUAUACACAUCGAUCGUCCCCACUCCAGCCCCUUUUCUGAAGAUUGUCCACUGUUAGAAUCUUAUUUUUCAGUACUAACCAAACAAAAAUCUUGACUUUAAGGGGAGUUCUAAUCUUCCAUAGCCGAUGGAAACGAUUAACAAUGACGCCACCGUCACGUAAAAAACGGUAUACAAAUUUGAUCGAAAAAAGUCCGGUACUGGACCAGCGCCAUACUAAACUGUCUUGUCCAGUAUCGAGGCACCACCCAGAUAUGAACUCCUUAAACUCCUCUAUUUGUACGCAGUCGGAAUGAGAAGUAGGGGUGAACCCCAACAGGAUCUUACUCCACAACCACCCAUUGGGGAUCUUACUCCACAACCACCCAUUGUCCCCCCAACACUCCUUGGCUUUGAAUUUCUUGCCGGUGAUUUCUUCAAAGAUACUCGGGAAGAUUGUUCGUAAGGAAGCUUCGUCACACCAAAUAUCCGUCCAGAGACUAACCAGGCGCCCAUUCCCAAUCUUGAAUGACAUCCCGCACUUAAAAAUAUUCCUUGUAGUUAGCACGCUCCGCCACCAAAAAGAAUCAGGUCUGAAUGAUCGGCCUUCCGCGAGCGGUUUCCUACGGGUAUAGUAAAUAUCAUUAACUAGAGUACCCCACAGGUGAUUUUUAUCCGUGUAAAAUCUCCACCACCAUUUUAUCAAAAGUGCUGUUUUCAUUGUAUCUAAGUCCUUGAUUCCAAGCCCGCCCCCCAUUUUACUUCUACACACUACUUUCCACUGUACGAGACAGUGGCCCCUUGCAACGGUAGAUCCCCCUCUCCAGAAGAAAGCUCGCUGCAAAGCUUCAAGUCGAUGCAAGACCCACUUGGGUGCUUUGAACACCGAAAAAUAGUACAGCGGUAGGUUUGAAAGAACCGAAUUUACAAGAACUAAUCUAAUAUAGAAUAUUAUAUAUUGAUGACAAAAUUUAAAUCACCAUAACUUAUUAUCUUCGUCCUUUAUCUAUAUUACUCCAAACUUUUUUAGAUUAUUUACAACUUUCAACAUACUAUAUAUAUAUAUAGGGAUGCAAGGUACGUAUGACUGAAAUGACUAGUUAUGUGGCAUUCUUGAAAUUUAAAGUUAAGAUUCUUCUAUCCAUUUUUAACUAUUUUGUAAACUGGAUUUUAAGAAUAACACAAUUUUUCAGAUAAAAUACAAUUAUAGUUUCUUUGUAUGUACAUUUGUAGUAAUUGGUUGUUGUUUCAUUCUAAUAUUAACUAUAUUGUCUUUCAAUGCACACAAAUAACAAAAGAUGUUAUACUUAUUAUUAUAAUCGAAUUUUCUAAUGGAAAUGCACUCUUGUUACCUAUGCAGAAGUAUUCAUUGGAGUUGGAGGGGUUCUGUUUGUGUGCCUAUGUCUCGUUGCUUGUCUCUUAUAUUAUAAGAAGUCUUGUGACUUGCUAGUUUGUUGGAAGAAGAAAUCAAAGACUACGCCAAGUGUUGAAUCCUUCGUACAGAAAUACGGAUCCUUAAACACAAAAUGGUACAGAUAUUUAGAAGUAAAACGAAUGACGAAGUCUUUUGCUGACAAGUUGGGACAAGGUGGUUUUGGUAUUGUUUAUAAAGGAAGUCUUCCUAAUGGCCAUCUUGUUGCUGUGAAGAUACUAACAAAUUCUAAGGAAAAUGGGGAGGAAUUUAUCAAUGAAGUUGCUAGUAUUAGCAGAACAUCUCAUGUCAAUAUUGUUAGACUCUUAGGGUUUUGUUUAGAUGGAUCAAAGCGAGCUCUUAUUUAUGACUUUAUGCCGAACGGAUCGCUAGAGAGAUUUAUUUUUAACGACAGGUCUCAAAUAGAAUCUGCACUUGGCUGGAAUAAGUUAUUCGAGAUUGUAGUUGGUGUUGCUCGCGGGCUAGAGUAUUUGCAUCGUGGAUGCAACACCCGGAUAGUUCAUUUUGAUAUCAAACCUCAUAAUAUUUUAUUGGAUCGGGAUUUUUGUCCUAAGAUUUCUGAUUUUGGAUUGGCAAAAUUAUGCACUUCAAAAGAGAGCAUUAUCUCGCUGAUAGGUGCGAGAGGGACAAUUGGGUAUAUCGCACCAGAAGUCUUUUCUAGAAACUUUGGAGUUGUCUCAAGUAAAUCUGAUGUUUAUAGCUAUGGUAUGAUGGUACUUGAAAUGGUCGGAGGAAGAAAAAAUCUUAAUGUUACCACAACAAGUAGCAGCGCAACUUAUUUUCCUCACUACCUUUAUAAAAAUAUUAAUCAGUACUGUGUAGAAGCUUGUGGUGACAAUGGUGAGGCUACAGAGAUAGUUAGAAAGAUGAUUCUAGUUGCAUUAUGGUGUAUUCAAACCAUGCCAGAUGAUCGUCCUUCAAUGAGUAGAGUGGUAAAUAUGUUGGAAGGUGACAUCAGUGAUCUACAACUACCACCUAAGCCAUAAUUGAUGUUUUUUUCUUUUUGCUUAAAAGAAUAAAUGUUUGUUACUAAACAUUCCGCUAUCUUGAAGAGAAGCAUUUUAUAUCUGUAGUCUUGCUAAAUGUAAGAUAUCUAAAAGACUAAAGAUUGAAAUUUAUUGUUAAUCUGCAAAGUUUUCCAGGUAAAUGGUAAAAUGUUUUAAAGAUUUCAAUCUUAUGAUUCAAAAUAAGGGAUUCAGUUCUUUAUUUAUAUGUUAGCUCAAAAAAAUUUUGCUUCUCAUUUAUAUUUGUUUAGUGCGGCCUGAGAUUUUUAUGGUGUAUUUUGGUACUUUUAAGCGGUAUUUUAUAGGUAUUUUAAUAUUGGAAUUUUGAUUUAAUUUUGGGGAAAUGAGUUUUUAAUUGAGGCAUAAGGUGUUGGGUACUAUUCACAUAAGUGAAUAGUAAUUCGGGAGAUAUUUCGAAGCUUCAGCUUGAGGAUGGCUUCGGAUGUGAAUCGGACACCGUUCCGGAUGACCCAAUAGGUCUUUUUUGAUGGUCCGGCUAUGCCGGAGGUGAUGGCACUGCUCAAUUUCAUGUCCAUGCAUGAUUUUGGAGGAAAUCAGAGUUUAUCGUAGAUUGGCCUUUGAUUACUCGAUGUUCUUGAUUUUUAGUCAUAUUUGAUGUUCCGUUUUGCGUGAAAAUUUAUAGGUCUGUACCACUAGGCAUAUUACAUGCACUGGUGAGUUUUUGGAACAAAAUUUAAUGAUUGGAGUGCUAAAUUGUUAUUUCUGAAAGUCUCAAAAUUGAGCACUUUGCGAAGAGGUUAUCAUUUUACGUGAGAAAUCUCACAGUUUUGGCAAGUGGAGAGAUCCACAUGAAAGUAGACUCAGAAAGGAUCUUACGUUUCAAAUUUUGCGGAAUUCGAAUUUUUCUGUGCAUUACGGCAUUGAGAUGAAUUGGUGAGAGAGUUUCACAAUCGAGAGAGUUUUGACGAGAUGCUCAUUAUUUUGUGCUUUUGAUCACACGAAACCUUGUGGAGGGACCUUUGUGCGAGGUGACCAUGUUAGCUCAGAGGGGGUUGUAUAGUAAAUGAAGGUUAAGAGGGGGUUUUUGUCUAAAAGUUAAUAUAUAUGUACAUUUAAAUAUAAGGACUUAUAUAUAUAUAUAUAUAUAUAGAGAGAGAGAGAGAGAGAGAGAGAGAGAGAGAGAGAGAGAGAGAUAGUAGGGCUAGAAUACUUGUAAAAGUAUCAUGGGGGUGAUACUUGUGUGUUUUUAGCCCUUGGAUGGAGAGAUGUGAGGUUGAGAUGAUGGUGGUAGGUGGUGGUAGGUGAUGGUAGGUGGAAUAGUGUUUAAUCCAAUGGCUAUUAAUAAUCAAAAAGUAGAUCCAAUGGCUUAAAACCUAUUAGCACCAUGAUGGUGAUACUUGUAAAAGUAUCAUAGCUCAACUAUAUAUAUAUAUAUAUAUAUAGGUAUUAUUGUUGCUAAGGAAACCCUAUAGCCGUACUCCUUGGCCACCACCCUUGGGGACCCCCCACCAGCGCGGGUCACCGCCGGCAGCCUCCUUGGCUGGCAACGUGGCCGGGCCUUGUCUCUUUCCCUUGACCUCUUUCUCCCUCAUUCUCUUUCUCUCUCGGAUGGUGGCAACACCAUCACGGCCGGCGCCGCCACCAUCGCACCCCCGGAUCUGGGUGCUUGAGUGCCCCUCCCCACCGCCAUCUUAAUUGGCCCAAGCCUCGCCCAGAUUGGAGACUCCUUGUUGGACUCUCAACUCGAGGGAGCCGGGCUGGAUCAGAUGGAUCCAGCGCCGGCGCGUGCCGCUACCGCCGGCCACCGCUUUGCCGAGGACCUCCUCUGUCGGCUUGGACUCCCCGUGCCGGCACAGACCAUCCCUGUCCGUCGGAGAGGUUGGUGAAACAUGGCUGCUCUUGCUGCCUCAGUUUGGACUCAAACUUGGAUGUUUGAUGGUUUCGAUCUAUUGUGUUGCCAAAUACACCCCUGUAGGGGAGCACGGCCAUUAGCGUUGUUCGUACAAGGCCAUGCUCACCCUUGUUAUUGUUAGGAGGCCUCCGGUUGUUGUGAUUGAUAGUAUCACUCUCGGAGACAUCGUUGGCUUUUCAGGAUCUCGGUUUUUCGUUUUGAAGCACUAUUUGUGAGGCUGCCCUAGCCUCACAAAUAGAAUACUUGAACUCGAUCACUAGAAGAGACUUUUUUUUUGAGAGAUAGGUAGCACGCUAACUGCUUCGUUUAUUUCAUUUAGAAAUUGACUUAGCUGAAAAUGUGAAUCAAUUAGAAUUCGAAAUUGGGACCACGGAUACCAACCACCAAGCCCUUUGCCACUUGCGCUAGGGACGGUCAGUCACCGAAAGAGACUUAAUGAGUGAAUCUAUGGGGUUCUCUGAAGUGCCAAUCUUUACAUUCUCCUGUUACACUUUUUGCAAUUUCUGUUGCAUCAAAACGAUAAUUUGACAUAUAGCGAAACUGCUGGGACGAUCAAACUUUUUGAUCUCAUUCGGCUCUUAUACCAGUUUGUUAUAUAUCCGCGACUAUGUAGAUACAGAUUUUCUCUGGAACCAGUUUAAUUUAGUAAUCCACAACUUACACUGAUAUCAAAUUUUCUCUUAUACUAGUUUGUUAUGACAAAAGCAGAAAAGAUCUAGUUCACUAAUGGUGAAGUACCCAAAAGAAUCAGAGACGGAGAAGAAAAAUAAAGCAUAUAAGUAUUUACAUGGUUUGGCCAUUAGUCUAUAUCCACGGAUGAUGACGUAGUAGAGAUUUUCGUUAUAAUAAAAGUGGUGUAAAAAUUAUGUCUCUUUUAUAAAAUCUUAGUCCUGAAACUACACCCAUACUUCUUCUCAACUACCAUACCAAAUUAAUAAAAUAAAGGGUAUAUUUUUUAUAGUAAUUAAAUCCAAAUAAACUAGGAAUACAAAUUUGUAAAAAUUAGAAAUAAUCUCUAUAAUAUUAGGCAUAAGUAAAACUUAAUUUAAUAGAAUAACUAAAAGAUAGUAGGACUAAGAAAUCUUGCGAUUUUAGAACUGGAGACAUAUAUAACAGAUAAGAAUAGUCAGUCAUGAGUCAUAAUUCAUUCAUUUGUUUCUUUUCCGGUCGAGUCUUUUUUUCUUUGACCGCCCAAUUCAUUUCCAAAUGUAUCCAUAUCACAAAAUAUUAAACAAUUAUUAAAUAUCUGGGAUUUUUUUAACUAUUUAAACAAUUAUUAAUAAUUGAAUAUUUGGUUUUUAAGGUUUUCAAUCUUGUUCGGGAGCCUUCAGGCCUCAGAAAACCCCACAAGUUUAAACAAUCUAAACCGGAGAAUUAAGUCAGGAUCAAACUAUUGAUUAACUAGUAAUUGUUAUCUUGCCUGUUUGUUAGUAUUACUAACUUGGAGUUGAAGCGUUUCGUUUCUUUCGAACUUCUUAUUUCUUUUAAAUUAACUUAAAAAUUUGAAUAAUCUUUUGAGUUUAGAGGGUCCAAAAUUGUACAUGGGUCUUGGUUUGGAGAGUUAAAACCUCUUACGAGACUAAUUUCUUUUAUUUUGCAAGGAAUUUGAGGGCCCNNNNNNNNNNNNNNNNNNNNNNNNNAGAGAGAGAGAGAGAGAGAGAUGAGAGAGGGAUUUGACGUUUCCGUGGCGAUUUCGCGGCCAUCCUUUGUAGCGACCGUACAUUUACCUGGCCACCCUCGGGAAUUAUUGGGUGCAACUAAGUAUCAGGCUUGACGGACCCUGCCAGUUUCAUUGGAAUUGUUGUUUUGAUAUCAUGCUAAUUAUAAGCAUCAAACACAUGAUACUAUUAUAGGUAUAGAGUCCAUAGUACUAAGAUUUUCAUUCUAACGUAUUUCUUUUGUGUAUAAGUAAUACUUUUCAGGAAACUCAGUGCAUAAAUUUCCGCAUCAAGGAGACCUAUUCGAGACUGCCUUUUUAUUAGGUUGUUGUCUCUAUUAUCUCUUUGUUCGUGGUUGGUUGUUUUUUUUUAUCAUUUUUGUUUUAGUAGCUUCUUUUCAGUCUUUCUGUUUUUUUUUUUUUUUGUUUUUUUUGUUUUUUUUUUGUUGUUACUUUAGUUUAUUAAGGAUUAAUGCUAGGUAUUCCGAUCUGAAGUAUAAACCUUUCCCUUAAUCCUUUAUUCUAUUUCGAUUAGAGGAUUAGCUUUUUGUGUCUGACUUUUUUAGUAUCUUUUGCACUUAUACUUUGAUGUACUGCUUAGCUAUCUUAUUUUUAUUGUUAUUUUAGUUUUCGGAGGUUGGAUAUAUUAUAUUUUGGAGUGUGUUGCUCUGUUUAGUAAUAGUUUGUAUUAUGUUGACUAGUUGAUUUUAUUUUUAAGUUUUUCCUUUUAUCUUUGAUUUAUUCUGCUUAGUCUAACCUUUAAACUAACAAUUUAUUCUUUUUCUUCUACAAUUUCAGCAUUGUGUUGGGUUGUUUGUUGUGGUUGUGGUGUGUGUUUUGCGGGGGUUUCUGGGUGUAUAUAGCGAUUUGAUUAGCGACUAGGUUUCUACAUUAACCGAUAUGAAGAUUAAGUGUAACUAGUGUUAGGGUUAAAUGUUGGGAUCUUAGAACUAGAACUCUGCAACCCUCGCACGCAAACUGAGAGACUGGUGACUUAGAAAACAACAAUUCGAAUAUUUUAAACUUUCAGAAAUGAAAAGGAUCGAAGAGAUGUAUCCUUACUUGCUAGAUGAUAGUCGCUGAGAAAAAUGUCACUGGGGAAGGAAAGUCUUCGUACACACUUUUCACUAGUUGUGAAGUUGUAUUCAAUUGUAUGACUUUGUUUGUUGGCAGGAUGCAAGAUGCCUCCCAACAUGAGCACCGAUGUGCACACUGACCCACCAUAGCAGAGCAAUUGUAGGCCUCAGUGGUGCUACAAAUCCUUGAGCAUUUGGCUACCCUCGGUCGAGGUUACAAGAAAAAGUGAGCUUUUAUGCAAGAAAUAAGUGAGCAGGCUCUUAUUUUCUUAUUCUUUAUAUAUUCUGUUGUUGUGUGUGGUUUUGUUUUUUUUUUGUUUUUGUUUUCUUUUUUUUUUUUUUAUUUAUAUUCUAUAUAUAUUUUUCUUAUAUUAUUUUGACUAUAUCUACAUUCAUUUUAAGUUGCAUUGUCUUUAUUUUAUGUUUCAGCUUAUUGAUGCAGUAUGAGUGCUCAGUUGUAGAGUUAUUUUAUUAUUCUUUUCUUGCAUUUUUUUUUUUUUUUUGGUUUAUUUUUUUUUUUUUUAGUUAGAUUAUGACACCGUCCCUCUGGUUGUGACAUAAUCUGCUACCGUAAGCCUUUUGUGUGGUAGGUUGAUAAUUCAUGAGAAGUAAUUUAAGACACUGUCAAUUUUAUAUAGUUAUCGGUAUACACUUGUAGUAACCACUAACCUUGAAGGAAAUGGUUUGGUCGAUCAUGAUCACUCUUAGCAGUCCGCAUAAUGAUCAUAACUCAUUUCGUAGAGUUGCUUCAUGUGAUCUUACUUCCUUUAUACAUUUGAUAAGCUCUAAACUCCGAGAUGACUUAAAAAUCAUAACAGGCUAGUGGUGUACACUAUUAUGCAAUUUGAUAUCUAAUGGAAUCAAUUUAAUUGCUUGUUGAUAUUGUUAUUAUUCUUUGUUGUGAGGUGGAGAAUCUAGGCCAAACGAUAUUUUGUUGAUGUUGUAUUCUACGGCAAUACUUUCUCUGCUUCGUUGAAAUCUUCUUCUUCUUAUUUUUUUUGACGUCGUCUGAAUUUUUUCAAAGAUUCUCAUAUACCAGUCUUAUUUCUUUUUGAUUCAUUAUUAUUCUAUUUUUUUACAUCAUUUUCUUUAUAAUUAAAAUCAGUGAUUAGCCGAUUUAUACUUAUACAUUUCCAAUCUUGCUCCUCCUUCAAGCCUUUAAGUUCGUGUUGCUCUUUUCCUAUUUUUUGUUUGUUUUUUUUUUUUUUUCUUGUUAUGGAAUCUCCCUCGUUGAUUUUUCUCUCUACUAUUCUUCAAUCUAAUACAAUUCCCAGUUCAAGUUGCCAUAUACGGAGUUAUGUUGUUCGUCAAUUCGGAUACUCUUUCUCUGAUUGAUAGUUCUCUUUUGUAUCGUGUCGAAGUGCCUCGUGCCUUUUUGUUUUUCUGUUGCUUCUGUUGAAAUCUACCAAUUCAUUUAGGCAUUACAUUAUUCUUCCAAGCUUAUGAAUUUUUAUCGAGUAUUUGAUCCAAUCGUUUCUCUUCUCGACGUAUCUUACUUCUUAUUCUCUUCUUACGAUUGAACCUUUAUCACUUCGCUUGCUACUUUUUUUUUUUGAUUCAAUCAUCCUAUGCUUUCGUAGAUUCUGGCCCUACAAAAGAGGGAGCUUCAUUUUAGUAUUAUAGAGUCCUUCACUAUCUUUUUUCUUCUUUGUGGUGUUAACUCGUUUCCUUACGCGCUUAGUUUUGCGUGUUACUCUUCUCUGCUUUUCAUCGUCCUUAACCUUUUUCGUUUGACCUAAGUGAUUGCCACUAGCUAACAUUAAUUCCCAGGUAAAAGCUUAUGCGUUCUGUUUCUUUUUCUUGUUUUUAGCUAGAACACCUCUGAUUUGCCUGUUUCGAGGUUCUUACUUUUUUCAUUUAUUAUUCAGUCGUAUUUUAUCAUAUCUUCUAUCUAACUGUUUCUUUCUGUUUUUCUUUCAUUUGUGUAGCGAGGUAUUUCUCUUGUUUUCUUUUUUUCGUUGUUCGUUUCUUUUUAUCUUUUUCUCAUUUAGUUUUUUUCUCUUUCUAUAUUAUUUCUUUUUAUUUAUUUUUUAUUUUCUUUAUUUCAUUUUUUUAUUUUUGUUCUUUCCGAUCUUUGCUUUAACUUUUUUUUUUUGUUUGUUUUUACACUUGCAUCUCUAUUGCAGGCAUCCAUGUAUUGGUGCCAACAACGAGCAGCAAGUCCGUUCGAAGAUAACAUUAUGUGAUGCCAAACUAAUCGUUUCAUUUUAGUUCCACCUCCCAAUCUCGUGGGAACGCAACCCACGAAACCCUGCUUGACGUUUGCCUUUGGACCUAUUAGAGUUUCACCUUUUAAGUCUUCAAUGUACACGGCCCCACAAAUACCCACUUACAACACUCUCCUUUAGAGCUUGCCUUUAUAAGGCCAUUCUAUUACAAGCUAUUCUCUAUUCCGCUCGUCUGGUCCAUAAAAUAAUGAUCCCAAGAGUAUAUAAAAUGAUAAACAAUCCUAGGAAAAAGCCUCGCGUAUUCCCUGCCCUCUAAUGUCUUCAACCUCGUGUUUCGAGCAUUACCGCUUAGUCUGUGUCACUCCAAACAUCCAGAUCACUCACCAUGAAACGCUAGGCCUGCACAUUCGUUGCCAAGGCCCCAAUGUCUAAUGGCUGUUGAGGAGUCGAUGGCCACUUACUAGUUCCUAUAAUCUCUCCACUAUAAAUACUUCGCAAGUCAUUACGCCUAUUUGGCACGCUGGUUUACAAAGUGCUACACAUUCGUUUGGACCUUGCAAGCUCCCUUACAUUGCACCCUAUGGGGUACAAAAGUGCUCAUUAAGACGCGUACGUUUGUGAGUCCCCCAGCAUCGACAAGCUGCCAAUUUCUUUGCCACACAUGCCCUAUUCAAAUUAUAUUUGAUUACUUGACCAGUGGAAAACCGCAACUGACGGAAGCUCAACUGCAACUCCGUAACAUCAUCAACAACUAAAUGCUCCAAAUUACGCCCAAGGAUAUUAGGGCGAGCCAAGCGAUCGACCCGUGACAGUCUUCCCCUCAAACCACUCGAGUCCUCGUCGAUGAUCCACUACUCAUUAAACUCCUGCCAGACAAUAACUACUAAAAUAAGAGCUCGCCCAUGGCCCUUAACAUCUCAUCCACAUUGGGGACUACUAAUCGAUUACACUAAUUACUAAACAAUGUAUCUCUAUGAACCCUAUUGUUCUUCUCGCCAAACACUUCAUUACACACCAUUUUAUCCUUUAGAUGCUCUUUACCUGGCCUUUCUCGUACCACAACAACUUUUCACGAAAUUUUUUUUAUCUUUAAUAACCAUUCCCUCCCUCUAUGUAUUAAUAAACCUUUUAAGAUUUGGAUUAUAAAUACAAUAGGAGGCGAGAAAUGCACAGGUCAUUUGUAGAUAGUACUUGUUUCUUUAAAAUAAAAAAAACUAAAAGCCAAAAAUUAAGAAUAAUACAAGAAACCAGAGAAAAGAAGAGAAAUGAAUUGCACUGUUAAAUUAAAAUUCUGUUUAAAAGAACUGACUAAAUGAUGUAUUGCAACUCUUUGAAUAUAACUGCCUUCAUUUAAAAAAAAGUUAAACUCUUUAAACAAAGUUGCACUCUUUUGAGAGAUAUUUAUAUGUUUCUCUCUUGUAUACUCUUUGAGAUGUAAAUGACCCUUUAAGAAAAUUAUACUUUUUAAACUGAACAGUACACUCUUUGAGGAUAUUACACUAUUUCUUCUUGUUAAAUGAUGCACUUUUAACAUAUAAAGAGAAUAAAUGCAACAAGAGAGAAAGCGUGCGACAAGAGAAAAAAUAGUGUAAUAUUACUUUAAAAUCAAUCAAGAAAUAAAUAGUGAAAUACUUCUCUAAAUAGUGCAACAAAGGAAAAUAGGUAAAACUCUAAAAGUGUAACUUUCGUUAAAGAGUAUAACAUUAAUUUAAUAAUACAUUUACAUAUCAAGAAGUGUACAAGGAUAAACAUGAAAUAAUUCUCAAAGAUAACAAAACUUUCUUAAAGAGUAAAAUUCAUCUUAAAGGUACAGGAUUUAUAUUUAAAAUAGUGCAAUUACUUUCAUAUAUGCAAAUUCUUUUAAAAUGGAAAUUUAAUUUACAGUUAUAAUUCAUUUCAUCUUCUGCGUUCUUCUUCUCUACUUUUUUUUUUAUUUUCUCUUUUUUGGUCCUUUUAGUUUUUUUUUUUUGGUUUAAACAAACAAAAGUGCAAACCAAUAUCUUCCCGUCAUUCUCCCCUCCUCGACCUCCUAUCACCCGUCGAGCCUGUGCUCGCUACCUUCGGUAAGCCUCUGGGUAUGCGCUAGGCCUGCGUCCCCCUCUACUCUGUCGGGAGUCUUCUCGAAAUGCUGAAUUUGCUCUCCUUUUAUCAUUCGCGAUGGUGAGGAAACGCGAGUUACACAGGAAAUGUUGGGAUCAAAAUCGCUGCAUUAGGUGAGAGGCGAAGGAAGAAUGCGUACCGUCCUUACUAUCGUCGCAGGAGGACGUCGAAGGCGUGGAGGAAGGAGACUCAGCAGCGCGUCCCUCGCGUGGUUAAGGCAUAGGGCAAAAGCUAGCUAAGGUAGGGCGUGAUAGCAGAGCCAGGGGUCGUUUUCCCGCUUUCGCUCUUCGUCACCCUUCUUUGCGAGAAAAAAGAAAGAACACUAAAGAAAAAAAAAAAAAUAUAUAUAUAUUAUAUAUAUUUAUAUAUAUAUAUUAAUUAAAAUAAUAUAUAUAUACUAAUAGUAUUGAUUAUUUACUAAAAUUCGAACCGAAUCUACAAAUUAAAAAGACGGUCAAAUUUUGUAAAAGUCUAAAAACUAAUAAAUUAUUUUAUCAAAAUGCCUAAUUAGUCUUCUCUUUUUGAGUAAAAGAAAUAUCGUUUAAUCUUACCAGCAUGAAAAAGGACCGUAAGUAUCACUAAAAAGAAAUAUGAAAUUAUUCUACUCGAACUUGUCUAGUGGAAAAUUUAAAAUCUUUAUUUUCACACCAUGUCGUGUAGAACCAUACUUGCAAGACUAGACUUUAGAUAGAGAGAGAGAUGAGAGAGAGUAACUUUUCAAAGAGAGAGAGAGAGAGAGAAGAGAGAGAUAGAGAGAGAGACUAGACUUAAAGAGAAAAAGGAGAGCAGAGAGACUUGAGUUAAAUUUGACAAAAAAUUAUUGAGAUAACACAAAUAAUUUAGGUAAAUUUUCUGGUAUUAUGUAGCUAACUUAAGAGGCAUUCGACGAAGGAGCACUCUCGAGAAGAGUUUGUUUGGCGAAACACAAUGUACUCAGCUUAGUGGCCAACCUUGACACUGGGGUUGUUUGUUGGGAACUCGUGGAGUCCAACGAGGGAUUCGAUUGAAAGAGUGGCGCCGAACAUUAAGGCUUGAGGAGGAGCAAGCUUGGCAAAAUGCUUAAGUUGGUCUUCCACUGUUAAGUUUCGAAAUGUGUCUGUGAUAAGGACUCGGUAAGGCUGGUUUGGAUCUGUGACACUUGAGCGCCACGCGGGGAUUUUCAAGGUGAAGAAAGUUUGCCCCGUGAUACCCCACUCAAACAAAUAUAUGUUUGAGCCUUCUCCCUCGCAACAAAUAGAAUAUAAUUCAGCAAGCAAUUAAUUGAAUUCCCUCGCAUACUCCUGCACUAUCUUGUCACCCCGCUGUUGAUUUUUUAAGUCAUCCUCGAGUUUCUGCUUUACACUGUUUAGGAAGUAAGUCCUGAACAGCAACCUACGAAACUGGUUUAUGUCAUUUGCGGCAUGCUAGGUGAUCAUGUCGACCAAACCCUCUUCCUUCAAGUAGUGGGCUACUAAGUGUAUCCGAUCUCUCUCCAAAAUGAGUGUCCUUAAAUAUCUUCUCCAUGGCUUCAACUCAAGCCUCCACCACCCAAGGCUUGGUGCUAUUACCGUCAAACCAAGGCGGGUCAAAUCUGCGACAGUUCGCUAGUCUCUCCCUGAUCCACUCCUACUCUGCCUCCAUCAACUGCUCACCUAACCUCGAUGCCUCUACACUGGAUGUAGGUAUAGUCGGCACUGUCGCUGCUAGAGGUAUAGUUGCCACUGGAGCAUUUACUGGGGUAGCCGGCACUAUCGCUGUUCGGCUGCUGCGCCCAUGCCUCACAUAUUCUCUGCAAAAGCUCACUUUGUUUCUUGUAACCUCGACCGAGGUAGCCAACUGCUCACGCAAGUCUUGUAGCACACUGAGGCCUACCUAUUUCGACUCUACGGGUGGUGUGGGUGUGGCCUGCAUCGGUGCUCAACGUCUUGGAGGCAUUUUAAUCACCUGCAACAAAACAAACGUCAGUUACACACUGAAAUACAACUCUCACAACUAAGUGAAAGUGUAGAAAGACAUCCCUUCCCCCGUGACAUUAUCUCAUCUACAGCUGACAUAAUCAUCUAGCAAGAAAAGGUACAUCUCCUUCGGUCACUUUUCACUCUUCUGGAAGAGUUUAUAAAUGAUUCAAUUGUUGUCUUUUGUAAUAAGUCACGUCUCUCACGUCUUGCCGUCCAAGGGUUUGCCAGAGUCUAGGGUUUCCUAAAUCCCAACAAUCUAACCCUAAACCCUGAUACCAACUUAAUCUGUCAUACUCGGAUUAAGGUAGAACCUAGGCUCGCUAACAGAUCUGCCAUAUACACGAAAAACCCUGUGCAUAUGAAGUGCCAGAAGUACUUGUAGUAGUUCUAAAGACUAGAACUAGCAGAUAUCAAAGAUAAAAAGUAAAACUACACAUAAUAUAAGUCAACUAAACAUACAACAUUUCUCAACAGGCACAGAACUCCACAAAUAUAUAUAUAAAUCACCUCCGACAACUAAAAUAAAAUACAAAUAAAGCUCGCUAAGCUAGUCCUAGUAUGUGCAAAAAGCUACUACCAAAAGUCAGACACUAAAAGGUACUCCUCUAACUCGAUCUGCACAGGUAGGGAAGGUACUAGCUCGUGACUCCCUUACCUCGAUCAAAUGAAGUCACAGGAACGGAGAGCUCUGCAAAAAAAAAAAUGUAGCAACAAAGAGUAUGAGAACUACUAAAACAGGCAGUUCUCGAUGGGUACCCUCACUGAUGACGACAAUCUACUCACUAGGUUUGCUGGAGGCAUAAAGUAAAGAUCUACUAUAUAACAAAAAGAAAUAACAGCUAGAAUGAAAAUCUAUAGCUACUAUGCCUCUAUACUAUAGGUAUACAUGAUGAUUCUGGAUGCAUCAACUAACUAUCGAGUACUCACAACACAACCCAAUCUCAAUGACCAACUCGAGGGUCUUAUCAAGCCUGCAUCUACUUAUUGCCAGAACACUACUCUCGAGGGUGGCCAGUAAAAAUGUAGGUCGCGUACCAGGGCUGCUGCAACAUCAGCAUGCGAAAGUCAAACUCUAGAGUGGCCCUCGAGGAGUAUAACCCCAUCGAGUAAAUAACAUAUCUCUGUCAAGCUCAAAUACAACUCAUGCAUGCAAGCUAUAGUCAAGGCAAAUGAUCAACUAGAUCAUGAGAACUACUAUCAAUGUGCCCUAGCAUAAUCCAGAGUGUAACUCAACAAUCCACUAUAUCACUAUACAAUAUAAUAAAUACUAGCCAGUCUACCAACUACUGUCAUAAUUAUCUCAGCCCCUCAAUAUGGGAGUAAAAUCAUUCUACACUAAUCCGAAAUAUCGGUAUCACUAACCUAGGUGAAAAAUAGGUGCUAACAACAAAACAAUUCAACAGCAACAAUGAGAUUGCAUAGUAUAGGUUAGAAAAGCAUAUAAACUAAUUUUUCCAACAUAAUGAUAUCUCUUAUAUGUUGUUUAAAAUAAGAGUGAUAAUCAGGAAUUAAUUUACCACCCUACCAUUCACAAUUUCUAUUGCCAAAAUUUAGAUUUUAGGAGCUCAUACUAACACAUGCAGAAUUUUCUACAGAUAGUGUAUAUAUAGUUCGUUGCAUUCGGUAAUUUUAACCCACCUUACAUUGCUAAUCCAACACAAAAUGAAGCGAAAUUCAACGGACACCUUCUCACUGCUCCAAACCGGUGGGAAGUGUCCACCGAACUACCAAAAUAUAGCAAAAACUCUGCUAGCAAAAAGAAAAACAAAAAAUCUAAAGAAAAAUAUAUUUCAACUCUAAAAAAUCCAAUUAACUGAAAAUUGAAUCAAUUUACCUCCUAAAAUAGCUGGAAGAAACUCCAAAUCAAUAGGACUUGAAGGAAAAAGCAGCAAGGAUUGUCCAAUAGUUCAGCUAGAAGAAUGGAAAAAGAAAUUUAAUAAAAAUCUAAUAAUUUUCAAUUUCAGCUCAUACUUUCAAAUUACAUCAAUUCCAUCAAAACUAACCUUAAUUCUAACUAAAAGAAAGUAUAAGCUAAACUUUUUUACUCCCCUUUCCCACAAACGGGCAUCAGUUUCGAAAUUUGAAACUCCAAUUGCACUCAAUUGGGCUCUUAAUUACUACUGCUGCUGCUCAACUACUAUUGCUGCUGCUGCUGCCUGUUGUUGCUACUUGUCACGCCCCGAGGCAGCCAAUUUGGUCCGUUCGGGUACGCAAACAGACGCCGAACGGACAGUACCUCUCCUGCCCGCCCAAAGCUCCAACAACAUGUAUAAUACAAGCAAUUCAAUCCAUAAUGAAUGCAAUUAUACAAGAUUUGUUCGAGGGCAAACAACAACUAUUUCACAGGUGAAAGCAUCGAAACUAACUAAACAUUCAACAUACAAGUCAUUUGAUUUCCUUUGAAUCAAACACAAGUAAACUAUUACAUUUACAUUCAUUUUAUCCAUUCACUUACAUCCCACAGACAUUCAUCCCAAAACAUGUUAUUUACAUCUUUUUACAUCUCUAGUUCAACAUACCAAAGUUGAAUAUAUAUUGGAAAUGCCUAUAAGACUCCGAAGGCCGCUAUCUACGGCGCUAUACCCUUGCCUCGAUCCUCCGCCGCCCGCUCGCGCACGGACCUGCAGGGUUAGUGGUAAUGAGAACUAGAACGAAGUUUCCAGUGGGUUCGGCCACCGGCCGCGCCGGCAGGAUAAAUGUACACAUUUAUCUAAAUGUGUACAUUUAGAUAAAUGUACACAUUUUCUAAAUUUUAGCUUUUUCACGAACAAGGUUUGCCCGGGAAAACGUGGUAAAACGUGAUGUUGUGUUGUUGUACUCGCUGGAGCGAGGUUGUUCCGUGGCUUUUGUAUGUACAGUGAACUCUUUAUAUUUUAUAUAUACAUGUUUUAGUUGUAGCAGGUCUUUACCUCUUGUGUAACUAUAUUCUUUUUACAGGUACAGCUAUCGCUUUGUAUACACGAAAAAUUUCUGUGUAUACGACAGGUCUGUUGGCGUGCCCGGAAAAAUGUGGUAAUCCGGGGCGUGACACGAAGAAAAUAAAAUAAUGGAUAAAUGCACACAUUUUCUAAAUUUUAGCUCUUUUGCGAACAAGGUUUGAAUAGUUGGUUGAAUAGUAUAAUCUAAUGGGUAAAAUUAAUCAAAGGGUUAAAUCUAAUGGUAGAAAACUUGAUAGCACCAAAUUCUUAGUGCUAUUGAUAGUACCCCAGCCGGACUAUAUAUAUAUAUAGUGCAUCUAGUAUGCUUCUGGAAGCACGGAGCGCUCCGUGCUUCCAAGUUGUUUUCGAUGUUCGGACUUUCAAAUCGACGAUCGGCUCCGUUAGGCUUGAUCUAGAGUAUUUGAAGUAUCUAGAAAAUAAAUUUUGCGAUUUUUCGAUAUCAUUUGCCUACUGAUCGAAGUGGCUCAAAAUCAACGGCUAAAAAUAAAAAUCUUACAAAAUAUGAUGAUAUGACAUUAAAAUUUUAGAUCAAAGUUAUUGAUCUUGUUUUAUAUGGUAUAAAGAAUUUUCUAUCAAAAUUUCAUGUGAUUUGAAUAUUUCUACACCGUUAAACUUGCAAACGGCUCACCACGACCAUUAAAAUUAUUGGUUUUGAGCCCAUUCGAUCACUAGGCACAUGAUAUCGAAAAAUCACAAAAUUUAUUCUCUAAGUACUUCAAAUACUCUAGAUCAACUCUAACAGAGCUGAUCGUUGAUUCGAAAGUCCGAACAUCGAAAAUAAUUUGGAAGCACGGAGGGCUCCGUGUUUCCAGAAGCAUACCAGCCCAAUAUAUAUAUAUAUAUAUAUAUAUAUAUAUACCAGCUGCUAUACUAUCGGUAGCACAGGGCCUCCCGUGCUACCAAGUUAUUUUCGAUCAUACGGCUUCCAAAUCGACGAUCGGCUCCAUUAGACUUGAUCUACACUAUAAAAAGUGUUUGGAAACUAAAUUUCAGACAUCAUUUGACUAGUGAUCAAAAGAUCUCAAAAUUGACCAUUUUAAUGGCCGAUGUGGCGUGUUUGUGAGUUUAACGGAGUAAAACAAUCCAAAUCUGAUGAAAAUUUUAUAGAAAAUAUUUUCACUAUUUAGAGUAAGAUCAGUAUAUCUGAUCUUGAAUUAAAAUCUUUUAUCAUCAUUUUUCAUGAGAUUUUUAUUUUCAGCCGUUCAAUUUUAGACUAUUUGUUUGAUAGAUAAAUGAUAUCGAAAAAUUAUGAAAUUUAGUUUCCAAAUACUUUUAAUAGUGUAGAUCAAGUCUAACGGAGCCGAUCGUCGAUUUGGAAGCCGCAUCAUCGAAAACAACUUGGUAGCACGGGAGGUCCCGUGCUACCGAUAGUAUAGUAGCCGGACUCAUAUAUAUACACACACACACACACACACACACACACACACACACACACACACACACACACACACACUGCAGUUAAUAAUAUCAAUUGCGAAAAGGAAGUGCCUCAAACUACCUAAUAAAAUUUGAGUGUUUGGAUUGGGGAUGAGGGGAGGGAUAACCCCUUAUCCUUCCCUUUAUACCGAAAUAUAAAUUUUUUAUCCGAGAAUUGUAGUUCUCGGGUACCUGAAAUAAGUUGGUAUAACUAUCCCCACCAACACCUCCAUUUUCUAUAUAUAACUAUCUACUAUUUUUUUAUUCUAUAUUAUCUAUCCAAACGCUAUUUUUCUUAUCCUCGGGAACAACCCAAUAUUCAUCCAAACGCUAUUUUGCUUAUCCCUAUACUUGUGCCUAUCAUUGUAAUAGCUAGCUCUUGCUUAUACCCGAACCAAACGGUAAAGGUACAAGUCAUAGAUUGCUCACAAAAGAGCUAAAGUUUAGAGGGUCUUAGCAUUUUUUCCAAAAUUAAUGAAUGUGUCAAGAACCCUGCAACCAGAGGCCAAGUUUUUCAUUAAACACCUUUAGGCCUUUGAUUUUAUUUCUUUAUUUAUGUGUCAAAAAAGAAUAUUUUUUUUACUUGAAAUCUUUAUAUGGUUAUAUACAAGACAAAAGAGAACAAUAAUAAUAUAAUUAGUGACACAAUUGAAGAGAAACCCUAAUAUUUGAUAAAAUUUAAGGAGUAAGACUUGUGUGUUAUUGGGAGCACGGAGGCCUCUGUACUUCUAAGCUGUUUUUGAUGAUGGGACUUCCGAAUCGACGAUCGGCUCUGUUAAACUUGAUUUAGUAUAUGUGAAGUAUCUAGAAAGUAACUUUUAUAAUUUUGAUAUCAUUUAUCUAGUGAUCGAAAUAACUCAAAAAUAGAUGGUUGAAAAUAAAAAUCUCACAAAAAGUUAUGAUAUAGCACUAAAAUUUUCGAUAAGAAAUAUUGAUAUUAUUAUAGAUGGUAUAAUUAAAAAAUUUUCUAUCAAAAUUUUUUCUGAUUUAAAUAUUUUUACACUGUUAAACUUGAAAACGGCAGACAUCAACCAUUAAAAAUUAUUAAUUUUGAAUCCUUUCGAUCACUAAGUAAAUGGUAUUGAAAGUUUGUAAAAAUUAUUUUCUAAAUAUUUCAAAUACUGUCACCCCUCAGGGUCCCUUUUUGAAAGCCAAUUCGAAAUCGGGUUGCUUUUAUAAAUCAGAGUAAGCGAAAAACUAUCCAAUUUUUUUUUUUUAAAUUUAAAACCUUGACCCCUAAGGAUGCAACAGACCUGCACAAAUACAGAAGAUUUCCAAAACAAAUGGACAAAAUCUCUCCUAUAUUUGCACGGCCUGGCACAUGUACAAUUGUCAAUCAUGACAUCCAGUUACACAAACAACAAUCACGAGUCACAAAGGUUAUCAUUUCACAAGUUUCACAUCAUAUAGUUAGCUGUCCUUAGUCACAACCAUUCCACGUCAAUUUCACAUUCAUUCAUAUUAGUUGGAAAUAUCUCCGACACAAAAACUUCAUUUAAAAAUCUAACCUCAGAAAAAGGUCGCGGAAAGCCAUUUUGGAAACUGUCUGCUAACCGAAGACCUUUAUUUUGGACAAACACUACCACGAGGAGUAGAAAGUCUCGAGAAAAUCAUUUGAAAGCCAUUUUCCAUACAAAAACCUUUAUUUUGAAAACGCUACCACAAGUGGUAGAGUACCACGUUCGAAAACUGAGUCCAAAGCCACAAAAAUUCCAAAACCAUGAGUAUCCAAAAUUGCGAGUAUCCAAAACACAUAAAUACAUCAUCUAAAAACCUACAAGUGUAAAACACCAACUGAACCACAUGUAUCAUCUACUAUCAGGUGUGGGGGUGAACUCUACUAUCACCUAUAUGUCUAAUGCUAUAUGAAGUAAUCAAGAACGUAUAUCAUAGAUCGAGACCUCUAUGACCGCUCACUAGUUACAGCCUCACGCUGCGUCCCGACCAAUCCCACCCACGUCACCUGAAAAGAGUAGGGGAUGAGAACAUGUAAACAAGUCUCCCCCUCCCAGAGGGCCCCGCAAGCCGAUGAGGGCAAGUUGUACCCAUCGGCAGAUGGAGGGAUAAACAGCAGUAGUAACAAGUAAGUCGGGUAUGAUAACAAUGAAUAACGUCCACCGAUAAUUGCCAAAGACGCUAUUGCUGUAAAAUGAGGUAAUAAGGCAGCGGCCAACUAUAGUCAAUAGUGAAAUUAGUGCAAUAACAAUGAUAACUGAACUGACAACAACCGUAAUAAUGGUAUGAAUAACCGCUACUCUAAAAGGAGAUAGAGAAAUGACUAUGCGUCAACUGCAAUUGAUAGCAUAAGUAUACCGAAUCUAUACCGCCAUGUCGGUCUAAGGACCUCAAACAAACUACAACCGCUCUGUCUGGCAUAUAACCCUAGCAAAUGGCUGCUGGGCUCAUGGGUUAGCAACCAACCAUUUUUCCGGAAAAGAACACCCUCCUGCGGUGAAUCAGACCGCUAGUGUUCGUGAAAUGCUGUCGAGCUGUGGCGAUCGAUGCAAAUAUGAUCAAUAGCCAACCGUCAGAAAAUAGCCGACAAUCUCCGCCCCUCAGGGCACACCGACCAAUAGGUCAUCGAACUGUAAGGGAACACGAGUACCGACCACUCAGGUCAAUUAGGGUGGAACAACUCAGCAUCCUCUCAAGUGUAUGCAAGUAUCGACCACUCAGGUCAACAAGAAAGUAAGAGGUCAACAAUCACAAUAGUAUAAAGGAACCGACCACUCUGGUCAAUUAGGAUGUAUCCACAAGAACCAACCUCUUAGGCCAAUAAUGAUAAGAGUAUAGGGGAAUCGACCACUCUGGUCAACUAGGGUGUAUCCACGAAAACUGACCUGAGGUCAACAACGACAAGAGUAUAGAGAAACCAACCACUCUGGUCAACUAGGGUAUAUCUACGAGAAUCGACCUAAGGUCAACAACGACAAAAGUAUAGGGGAACCAACCACUCUGGUCAACUAAGGUGUAUCCACGAGAACCGACCUGAGGUCAACAACAAUAAAAGUAUAGGAGAACCGACCACUGAGGUCAACAGGAAUAUAAAUGCAAGUGUCUCUACCGCUCUAUUUCUAUAUCACGGCAAACGGGAGAGUAUACUAAGUAGAGUAAGGGUCGAAGUCAUGUGGUGAAGAACUCAAGUACUAAAUAAGUAUAUAUGAAAGUAGUAAAAGGCAGGGAUGAAGGGAACAUCACUGAGCGUGCACCACUGAACCGACUUCGGAUCGAAGUACCCACCUGUGUCCGUCGCCGCGUCCAGCUCUUGCGAGGCAAGGGACGUCGACCGAACCUAUGAUAGGUUCACCGAGUAUCUAAUCCACAUGACUCAAAAUACAUCGCUCACAAAACCAAAACCGCUCGUGUAAUCGGUUUCCCAAAACCAAUCCCCGAACUCGCCGGGAGUCUCAAAAAUGCACCGGGAUGCCUCUGGGACCCACGAAACAUUCCUAAAGGCAAUGACUCACAUCAGGAGUCGCUUGCUGUCCCAAAACACACCUAUUUGGGUAUUCGGACAACAAACACAAGUCUCUAUGACAACUCGGUCGUCGCCGAUCGAUCGCUCACUACUAGGCUUUCAGAAGUUUCCACUUUGGCACCGGAAGCCUCCGCUGCUCACCUGUCACCUCCGAACACACGAGAUGACCCCAGCAGUAAACCAACGAGGCUAGGCGAUGCUUUCCAAGGUGAACAUGCAGCCGAAAACUCAUUGCGACAUGAAAUUGUGUUCUACCGACAAUUUUGCCGGAAAAAUGCACUGAAACCUCUUUGCCGCUUAUCCUCCGCCUCCUGUCUUCGAAGGUGGUGGUAGCAACCAGCCAACAAGGCUUGGCGGGGUCUCUAGGGCAUUCAAAAUGCUAACGUGUGGAAGCCGCAACUUAAACCGCGUUCGAUCAGCAAAUUUCCCACAAGCGACGCUGUAGGACCCCGUUUCCACUCCGUGACAGCUCUUGGACCUUUGACGAUUAGUCAAGCGGUUGCUAACAGCAAUCACACACUGUCCGAGGCUACGCAUGGGGCCCCCAAAAUAUACAAUUGUAAACAACUCAUUAUAGCAUUAAAUACAAUACAAAUAAUACUUAAACACGAGUUUCGAGCUCAUUACCCAGAUUCGUGUCGCAGCGGAUCCAACCAACCAAUCGAUUUGAUUCAUCUCGACGAGAUGAUGCCCAUGCUCGCUGUUCGGAGCGCGAUUGAUGACCAGGCAACUUCGAAAUAGCAGACAAACUCCUCUAAUAUGUUGCUCCCGGAAGCGGUCGAGUCUCACGAGCGCACUGCAGCUUUGACGAUUGCAGUAGAGGUAAGCAUGGUGUUUAGCAGGCAACGAGGAUCGCCGUGCUCACUUUCGGGAAGGUCGGGGAGCUUCAAAUUGUCGGAAAAAGAGAACGGGGCAAUACCAUGCCCUAGGCUCCCAAGCAGGGAGAACAGUGACUCCGGUCCGCCGCAGGCAGCCUGCCAGCGUGCACGCCGGCUAGGGUCGGCCGCGGAGGGGAGGGAAGCCUCAUGCUCCCCUCGGUCGGCAGCAUGAAGUAAUGGCGGCGGCGGUUGGUGAAGCCCGGCCAGCGCACAAAGGGGUUGGAGCUCGGGUUCGGGUUCGGUGGUGGCGGCGGCCGCGCCUAGAGAGGGCUCGGGUCAUCUCGGCCUAAGUUGCUCGAGAGGAGAAACCUACUGCGACGGCGACUCCGGCGCGGCACGGAGGCACUAGAGGAGGGUUGUCGGAGUUCGGGAGGACAUCGAUGGCAGUCCUGGUUGCUCGCGACACAGUUACAAGGCGGUUUGGGAUAUCCUCCUUCAAUCCACCAAGAGAGAGAGAGAGAGAGAGAGAGAGAGAGAGAGAGAGAGAGAGAGGGAGAGGGAGAAGGGUGAUCUAGGGUUUUUUUUGGGUCCCAAAAUCCCCACAUCCACCAUUUAAACCAAUAACCAUUACUUUAAAAGAAUAAUUAUCCAAAACUCUCCCAAAACAUCGAAUUUGUGAUCUAGUCCCUCUCCAACAUAAUCCUCUCAUAGAAAGAUCCCGCUUGCAAGUUUCCAUGCAAAACAGAUUGCCGAUCACGUCGAAAAAGCAAAUUUAAUGCAGAAUAAAAGCCCUCACAGCGAUAAACCUUUUUUUUUUUUUUCAAAAAUCGUGUGUCAAACAUAAAAUUAGUCAGUGUUAUUGGCUUCGGCACAAUCGGUGUAGUGUUUCUGAGCUUUGGAUAGAAUUGGCUUCAGUAUUAGUGACUGGUCGACAUUUCUGGAGAGUGUCGGACUGAGUCGGAGUCAAUUCUGCACGAAUUGGAUGCAGAAUUGGACUCGGCGCACUCAAAUAAGCAAAACUGGAGUUUUGCCAGAUUCGGGCGCCCAGAACAUGGUUUAGGUCGCCCAGAACUGAGUGUUAAAUUUAACUGAAACUGGAGCCAAUUCGGAUCCUAUGUUCCGGGCGCCCAGAAGUGGGUCCGAAAAUUCUACAUUGUGAAUAUCGUUUACUUCGAAGCGUAGCAGGGUGGUAGGUGAGAUCCGCCGUAGCCUUUUACGGGCGCAGCACACCGCGAGCGGAGAAUCCGAGGAGGAUGAUUUGUGCAGCCUGGAGGUUUCGGGCGCCCAGAAAUGGGUUCCGGGCGCCCAAAAACGCCCGUCUCUGCAGGGACACCAGAUUGCAGCUGCUUCUCUUGGGGUUAAUUUUAUCUUUCCAGCAGCCUAUAAAUAGAUGGAGGGUAACCCUGGUGAGCUCUUUUCACUCCUUCUUCGCAGUGAACCAUUGGAUUUCAUCUUCUACCCUCGAAUUGCCAUAAAUUGCUUCAAAAUCCGCAACUCCAAGCUUGUUAGGUGCUGAUUCUGCAGUUCUUCAGCGACGACCUUCAGUGUUUUGGCUCGUGCGCGACGUAGGAAGGUCGGAUCAUGGCGAAACUUGCUUUGAUGCAUUCUAGACUUCCUGAGGAAUCCACGAAGCCCUGAAUUGUAGAUUUUGGUUGAGGUUAGAUCGAUCGAACUGAGAUUUUUCUGGACUGCUGUAGACUUUGAGCUGAAAAUGAGAUUUUUGAGCUUUUCUUGAUGCUAUCUUUGUAGGCAAUGGGAUUUCGGACCUGAGUCGCAUCACCCAUCAAUAUUUGCUAGAUUUUGGACUGCCCUCACCUGAUUUGGAGAUCGUUAGGUGAGUUUUGACAUUGGAGUUGAGAUAAUUAAGCUUAAGUGCUGAAAUUUUUGGUGAAUUGAUGGUUUUUGUCGGAUUUUGGGUGUAGAUCUUUCGAGUAGCUUUGUUGCUGGUUGUGGGUGUUCUCGGAUGAGACUUCUAGCAAUUCGUGACCGUCUUGCUGCCAGGGAAUUGCACUAGAGGUGGGUUUUCAUCGGAUCACUCCUAAGUGAAUGAGUAGAUGUAUAGUCAACAUGUACGUUUGUUGUUUGAUCUACAAUGUGAUUAGAUUAAAUUUAGUGAUGAGCUGUGGUUGUGACCUGAAUUUAAGCAUACUAAAUAAGUGAGAUUUAUACAUGUUGGACUUGGAAAAUUGACUUAGGAGAAAACCUGCAUUUUAACCCGUCAUAUGCUUGAACUACCAGAUUUAGCUCUAGGAGCCGUGGUUCGGCUGUAUCGUUGCAGUAUCAGUGCGAUGGAUACCUGGGGUAGUUUAGAAGGCAUUUACGCUCGUGCUGGGGUGCCGAGCUUAUUUUUCAGCAGAGUCUACGCUGUUUCGGAUCGUUGGGUGCCGUCCGGGUUGGCGGUGGACCCAGAUUCUUGUUUUGGUUCCAGAUUGUGCCGAGGGCACGUGGGUUUGGUUUGUAGACCUGUUUUGACCCUGUUUACAUGACUUUGGCUAGUUGGAGCUUGAUUGAGCUCGACAGAGAUACGCUGCAUACUCGGUUGGGUAGCUUCCACGAGUGCCACUCCGGAGACGGGCGUUGUGCUUUCGCGUUGGUGUCGUUCAUGCUGGUUAGACUUGCUCUCCACAGACUGGAUAGUGUGGAGGUAGCUGGAUAGUCUCAACUGGGCGGGACGGGUNGGUUAGACUUGCUCUCCACAGACUGGAUAGUGUGGAGGUAGCUGGAUAGUCUCAACUGGGCGGGACGGGUGUGUUCACAGUUCCUGGGACGGGUAUGUUUACAGUCCCUAAAGAGAUUCGGUCAGGAUUGACAUUACUACAGUAGGUCAGCUUAAAGCAUAAUAGUGUAAUAAAUAGUAGCUGUAGAUUUCAUUCCAGCAUUUAUUACUACCUUUGCUCCCUUCUGUAGACUUAGUGGGUGGACCGAUGUUGUUGAGGGCGACACCCACUGAGGACUACUUGUUUUACAGUAGUUUUCACGCCCUGUUGUUGUAAGUUUUGGGGUAGCCCGAGGAUCUAUCUAGAUUGUAUCUAACACCUAGAGGGGGGUGAAUAGGUGUAAUAGCCAAAAACCACAAAUCUCAAUGCGAUAAAAAUAAAUGCGAAAAAUAAAAAUCACACCGAGAUUUACGUGGAAAACUCCAACUAGGAGUAAAAAACCACGGGACCAACACGCGAUAACAAUCCACUAAGAAUAAAAGAUUACAAGGUGAUUUACCGAUUCCACGGACUCAAACCUCUCUUUUAUCUUCUCCGAAUCUCGCGCACACCAACGGGUUGUCCACGCCCCACGUCCGAAUCCACGAACGCCACGUUCCGAAUCCACGAAACGUCCACACUUCGAAUCCACGAAGCCUUGAUCACGCCGAAUCCACGACGCCCACUCGAAUCCACGACGCCCACUCCUUCUGGAGCAAGAAUAUCAAGAUUGAUGAUGAUUUAUUACUUAGGCAAUCACUAAAGAACCGUAGAAGAUGUUUCUAAGCAAUAGCCGGAUCAAUUCUCCAUGAAGAACGAGAAAUUUUGAGUUACAUGAAUUGAUCCAAUAGAAACUUGUUGUUCGAGAGAAGAAAGAAUGCACCCAACAAGUUUCUAGGGUUUGAAAAAGAUAUUCUAUCCUUCGUUCUCUUUUAGAAACACCCCUACAUCUUAUUUAUAGGUUUAGAAAACUUAGAAACAGACUAGGAUUGCAAAAACCCAAUUUUAAAAACAGACGUCGUCCUCAGGGACCGAUCUUCUCGAGGAGACCGGUUUUUGGGAGACCGGUCCUCCAAGUUGGAGACCGGUCCUUCGCUGCGUAGCUGAGAAACAUGCGUACGGGGACCAGUCCUCAAUUCAGAGACCGGUCCCUCCCUGCGCAACAAGAUAAACCACUUACGGGAACCGGUCUUCAAGACCAGAGACCGGUCUCCCAAAACUUCUACGCAGAGAAGCUUGAUGGGUCCGGUCCCUCUGAUCAAGGACCGGUCCCUGACCCCUGAGAUUUUUAGAAAAGUCCAGUUUGAUCAACAAAAACACAAUCUCAGUCCUCUAAACAUAUUUAAACAUUUAUAAAUCAUCAUCAAUGGUAUUUAAACUUACCGAGCAUUGUGCAUUUAUGUUUUGAGUCUCCGAGUCUUCGAUCUUCAUUUCUUCUUCUUCAAACAUUUAAGACUCCGACUAAUAUCAUGAAAUAUGCCAACAUAAACUCCGUAACAGUUGUUACCUCGUUUUUGCAGAGCCAUCGUCUUCGCCUGCUACUGUUGCUGAUCAGGAUCGAGGCAAGGGCGUCGCGAGUUAGAGCCCUACCCGAUGAGCCGAGCUAGAGGUAACCCUACAGCAGGUAGUUGUUUUGUUGGAGUUCAUGUACAUACCUAUAUUUAACUCGCCAGUGCGAGUAGCUCUGUAUUUUGGAUCUGAACUAUGUAUAUGAAACCCUGUUUUAUUUAGCUUCUGUUUUCUCUAGCAGCUCUCUACUACUGUUCGUAGUAGUGUUUGAUUUACAGGUACAGCUAUCGCUUCGUAUGCAGGAAAAAUUUCUUUGUAUACGGCGGAUUUGUCGGCGCGCCUGUGGAACGAGCAAUCCGGGGCGUGACAAUCGGACCAUCAAAAUGAGCUAUUGGAUUGCCCGAAAUGGAGUCCGAUUCGCGUCCGAUGCCCAUCUCUCUCUUCGGUCACAACUGAAAAUGCAGAUUACUAUUCAAUUUAAGUUAAAAGUAAUAACCGCGUAAAAAUUUUAUUUUAAAUUAUUUUUUGCUGAAAUUGGAUAGACAAGUCUAAAAUUAAAAUACACACAAUAAUAUUUAAAAAAAUGACAAACAUAUAUAGGAAAAAAUCUCAAUCCUCACAAAUACGCUAGAUUAAAUCUAACGGAGCCGAUCGUCGAUUCGAAAGUCCUCUCAUCGAAAACGACUUAGGAGUAUGGAAGCCUCUGUAGUCCUAAUAGCACACAAGUUCUACUCAAGUUUUCGAAGGUCUACUAUAAAAAUUGAAAGCUUAGAUCUUGUUUGGUAUCAUUAUCAUUUUUUUUUAAACACUAAUUUUAUAUUAUUUUUUGGUUGGAGGAAAGACUUCUUUUCUUAUAAUAGCUAGUUAGCGUGCAAUAUAUUUGACUAAGUAAUAGAUAAUAACUUAUUUAAAAAUAUUUGAACGCAAAAAAAAUUAUUUUUAAGUUUUUUUCCACUAGAUAAACAUCUUGGAGGAAAGAUUGCAAGUAAUUUACUAUCCCCUCUUACUUUUUUAGAUACAAAACUUCAUUUUUAAAAAAAUAAAAAACCAACAGGAUAGCAAACAAGGACUUAAGAGCUUAGGGGCUGUUUGGUUUGGAGUAAGUGGAGGGUUGGAACUCGAGUUCGAUGAGUUUUGCUGUUUGUUUUGAUGUAAGUAAAAAAAUUUAUGUAACUCAAGUUACAAAGAAUCCUCAGUUCACCUACUUUUGACUUCCCCUUUUAAACCUCCGAACUCAACUUACACUGCACCCACUCUCUCUAAAAAAAAUCCAUUAAAUAUCAAAACUGAACUCUACUUCCUCCCUAACAAGUUAGGGUUACCUCCAAAACAAACAUUCAGAAAAUCCCCUUCUCACAACACAGACUCAGAAAAUCCCCUUCUCCUCACAACGCAGACGCUCUCAAUCUUCCCCAUUAUUUCGAUAAUGUGAGUUAUCUCCAUCUACUCUCUUUCCCUCUCAUCCCUCUCCUCUUUUUCCUCUGUAUCUUCUUCUUCUACAUCGUUGCUUUCUCCUUUGUUGCAAUAUGCUAUUUGCAACUCUAUUUUCCUCAUUUUGCUUAAUCCCACUACCAAUGGAAAGUAGUGGUGGCCUGGUAGUGGUUGUUUAAGGAGAGGCAAACCGCCGCACGACCAUACGUCAAAUGGGAUGGUGGGUUUAAUUUCAGUAUUAUGCCCAAGAUUUUUUUUAGAGUUAUAAUAAAUUAUUUCAUUCUUUAUCACUUGUGCUGUAAUAAAAUUUUUUAUAUGUAUUUUUAAUAUUUUUUUAAUGCAUAUUUGCUCUGCUCACAUUUUUUAUGUGUCCAAUUAUUAAUGAUAAACUAAGAAGAGAAAUAAAUUUUUUGAAGCAAGUUGGGUAGAAAAAAGAUUGUAAUUUUUAAUUAAAUUACAAAGUAGGAAAUUAACAUAAAAAAUUUAUUAGUUUGUACAUAUGCUUGACAAUAAUAAACUAUGCAAUAGGCACUAAGCUCAUUCUGAGAACCUUUUUGAUCAUUUACUUAAUUAUCAAAGAGUUCAUGGCUAGUAUAUAUAUUGAUCUUUUACUUAAGUUGCCAACAUUAUGUACUUGAUUAACUUUGCUAUACUAGACCUACUAAGAUAAUAAUAUUGAUCUAAUGCCAGAAGCUUAAUAUUCUUUUUGAAAAUCAUGCUUUUCUUAUAGGUCGAUGCAUCAUUUCUUAUGAAAAAUAUGAUUAUCGAAAAUGAAUCAUCAUGGGAAUUUGUAGUAAAGACAAUUUAUGAGUUACUUCAUUUGUAUUACUUCAAAUUUUUUGGUAAAUUUUCAUGUACUAAUGUAAUAGCUUGAUAUUUCUUUCAGAUGAAUACCGCGAAUCAAUAUAAAUGACGAAAACGCGCUGAACUUGCAGCAUUCUCUAUGGUUGUAUUAUGUGUUAUACUUUCAUGAGAAAAUAUAUGAAAAAAAAGUCAUUGCCCCGAGAGCCAUCUAGGAUUAGAGAUUUGCAUAGAAAGGCACACGUUCAUAGAAUUUUAUAUGGUGGCACAAUGAAUUGUGUGGAUUAUGUAUGUAUGGAUACUUGGAACUUCUUUAGCCUUGUUGAUAUAAUGAGAGAUCGUAACUUAUUAAAGGAUACCCUUUACGUCACAGUUGAGGAACAACUUGCGAUGUUUUUGCAUACAGUGGGACAUCAUACUAAAAACAGAAUCGUAAAGAUAGAAUUUAUUCGAUCAGGAGAGACCAUUAGUCGUUAUUUUAGUACUGUCCUAAGAGCUAUAUGUGCCAUUAAGAAUCAAUUUGUCCAACAAGCAGGCCCCGAAAUCCAUCCUGAGAUAGCAUCGAGCCCACUAUAUUUUCCUUAUUUCAAGGUAAUCAUAAAAAUGUUGAAUUUUUAAUACUAAUUGUGUAAUUGAUAAUUGAGGUAUAUUAUUUAAUGGUCUUAAUAUUAUUAGGAUUGUAUUGGUCUAUUGGAUGGCACGCAUAUUGAAGCUAAGGUACCAGUUAGAAUAGCUGCUCGAUUUCGUGGCAGGAAAGGUUUAACACAAAAUGUCAUGGCGGCUGUCAAACCGGAUUGUCGAUUCACUUAUGUUUCAGCUGGUUGGGAGGGAUCUGCAAAUGAUUUCACAGUACUUAAACAUGCACUUUCGUUACCUCCCCCAUCUGGAUUACGGGUUAUAGAAGGUGAUACAUAUAUAGUCUAUAUAUUAUGAAAUAAAAGACUAAUUAAUUUAGCUAUUUUUUUUUUCUUUCUUAUUGAUCUAAAUAUAUAGAUAUGUCAAACUAUAUAUUGACUAAUCGCAGGAAAAUAUUAUUUGGUUGAUGCUGGAUAGACAACUAUGCAUGGAUUUUUAGCCCCAUAUCGUUCAGUUCGAUAUCAUUUAAAGGAGCAUGAAGGUCGUACUCCACAAAAUAAGGAGGAGUUGUUCAAUCUACGUCAUGCAUUAUUAAGAUCCAAGGUUGAGAGAUCAUUUGGAAUCCUCAAAAAUCGAUUUAAAAUCUUGACCUCGAAACCUUUCUUUCCUUUUCGUACACAGGUAGAAAUAGUUUUGAGUUGUUGUGUAUUACACAAUUACAUCCUCACUGUAGACCCUCAUGACCCAUUUCUCAAUGACGAAAGUAACAUGUGUGAGGAUGAUGUUAAUUACUAUUCACAAACAAGAUCACAAAGAGAGCAUCGUGAGGAGAGUCGACAAUGGGUAGAGCUGCGUGAUAACAUUGCAGAGGACAUGUGGCAGGACUAUAGUCGGCGCACUCGUCAUUCAAUCUAGGAAAUGUUUUGUUUUGUUUUAUACUCUUUUUUUUUUUUUGCUUAUGUUUUCUGUAUUUUUUUCCUAGCCUUAUCAACUGGAUUUAUGCAACAGAAGGACAAGUUUGUGCUAAAUGCAAAUGUAGAAUCUAUUUUGUUUCUAUAUGUGAAUGUAACUUAUUUUGUAUUAAAUAAAGACAAGUUUGCUUUAUAUAUAUAUUUGACUUCUAUUUUAUUGUAUGUGUCCAAUCUGUGUUCUACGUAUUUAGAUGUCACAAUCUAUUAAUACACAAGAGGUAGAGAUGUCCAUGGUUCCUCCAUCAGCACCCCACAAGGAAGCUUCUAAAAAGCAAGAAAGUUCCAAAAGAAAGAGCACAAGUUUAAGUAAAAAAGGUACACCAAAUAAAAGAUGAAGUACCGUCAUAGAUGACUUUCUUAUUCCAUUUCUAGUGGAACAAGCCAAGUCAGGCUUGAAAGUAGACAAAGGUUUCAAGAAAACGGCUUAUGUCGCUGCGGCUUCAACAGUUAAUGCAAAAUUCAACACUACUUUUGAUGCUGAGAAUGUAGAAAACCAUAUGAGAACCCUCCGAGCCAAAUAUGCAGAAAUUAAGAAGUGCAAAGAGAUUAGUGGAGCUGGGUGGAAUGAGGAGCUCAAGAUGAUCAUAUUGGAGGGUCCAACAUAUGCUACCUAUGUGGAGGUAACAUGUUUUAAAACUAUUAUUAAAUAUUAUUUGUUUAGAAUUCAUUAUCUAUAUGUAAAUUUCUCUCCAUUUAUAAUGUAGGCGCAUCCAAAAGCAGCCGAUGUGCUGAACAAACCAAUUAAACAUUAUGAUGCUUUAAAGAUCAUUUGUGGUGAUGAUCAAGCCACAGGACAAUUCUGCUCAACUAUUUAUGACAACUAUAUUAAUGAUCCUGCUGAUGGAGUUAACAGUGAAGCAAGGAAUGAAAUGACACCAGAUGACGAUGGUAUGGAAGGGAGAGGCUUGGGGCAAGAUGGGGAUGCUUUUACCCCAACAAAUAAUAACGAUGCUAUACCUUCUUCGGGGAAAAGUCGUGGAAAAAGGCCUCGUGAGGCCAAUGAUGAGCAUUUCGACGAUCUUAUAGCAACUGUAAAAGAGGUUGCUGUAGCUAUCAAAACAAGUGCUACUGCCCACUGGAGUGACAAUUUGUGGCCUAAGCUUGUCGAAGCUGGAGAUUACUCAAGUGAGGUUUAUGAUGCAGCUUACUCUUUUCUUUAUGACGAUGAAAAGCAAGGAAGGUUAUUUAUGUCAAAGCCAACUGAGUCGCGUCGUUCAUGGCUUGAUCGUUUUGUGGCAGAUAAUUUUUCAAGAUUUACAGAUUAUCUUUAGUUGUUUAAACUAACUUUCUUACAUAUUUUGAUAGAUAGAUAACUUUUUGGCUAUAUUUUGGUGGACACAGUAUUACUAGUAUGAUGACAUUUUGCUGUAGAAAAAAAGAUAAGCCUUAUAUAGAUAUGUUAGCUUUAAAGUAAACUAAAGUAUGUACUUGACUACUGCUAUUAAUAUGCUUUAACUUCUAAUGAAUGAUGAUUGUUAAAAAUUGGAUGUUUCAUAUGUUUGGAGUUGUUUCUAUUUUGUUUGAUAUUGUUCUUAUCCAACUAUAUGUAAUCUAAGAUAUGUAAUUUUGUUUUAUUUUGUUAAACAAAUAUAAAUACAAUUUUGUUUUGUUUAACAUCCAAUAUAUAUCCUUUAGAUCACAUGUUGUUUAAACUGCUCAAAAUUUUGUUACUAAAUGCUAAAAUCAUCAAAAUUUCACCAAAAAAAAAUUAUCUUGAAUAAAGUGAUUAAAUUAAAUUUAAAGUAAUGAAACAAUAAAUAAUGGUAGUAAAAAAAUAAAAAAUAAAAACAGUAAUGGGAGAUUUAAUUAUUCAAUAGGUUUGGAUUUUGUGGGGUAAGCUCACCACUAUAUUUGAGAAGGUAGUGGGAUCUAUCUACUUACGUCAAAACAAACAAUGGAACUCUAAAAAUUAGUUACACUAACAUCAAGUUGCAUCAAAACAAACAAAAGAAGUUGGUGAACUUAACUUUCAGAAGUUUGAGUUACAUCAAAACAAACAACAAAAAAAUAACUACACUUCAGGGUAACUCAAACACCACUACACUGGAGUUACAUUGGAUCUAGAGAUUCAUCAAACCAAACGUCCCCUUAUUUGCAAAAGAGAUAAGGUUCAAUGGUUUCCUUUCUAAAUUAUAUUCGAUAAAAAAAUAUUUUAGAAAAAAUAUUAUUUAUAAUGGCAUAACAUUUAUAACGGUAAAAAGUUAACAAUAUAUCGGUACUCAACCAGUCAACCCACACGAAUAAAUUUAUAAAUUUAAAAAAAAAAUAUAAUUAAAAUUAUAAAAGGAAAUUCGUAAUCUCAAAAUUAUGUUGUAAUAUGACAUGGCUUUGUCCCACAAAAAAAGAAAAACACGAAAUCCGAGGGGCUUAGUUCAAAGUGAUUUAUACAUCUUACAUCUUUCUUUUGAAAGAUCAAAUUUUAUUCUUUUUUAAAUACUAAGUUUCUGAAACUAUGAUGGAGGGUGUAAAAUGUACAUUUUUUUUUUUUUUUAAUGUAUACCUAAUAUUUUCCAUACAUACUAGCAGUGUUAUCCAAUCUUUUAAAAAGAAAUGCAUAUAUAGAACUUAGCCGAACUAUAGUCUAUUUUGAUUCGACCAUCCAACAUUUCAAAAAUUUUGAUUUCAUUAUUCAACAUUUCAAUUUGUUAGAUUUAAUGUAGUGUUCCUGAGUUUUGGAUAGGAUUGGCUUCAGUAUUAGUGACUGGUCGACAUCUCUGGAGAGUGUCGGACUGAGUCGGAGUAAAUUCUGCACGAAUUGGAUGCAGAAUUGGACUCGGCGCACUCAAAUAGGCAAAACUGGAGUUUUGCCAGAUUCGGGCGCUCAGAACAUAGUUUAGGUCGCCCAGAACUGAGUGUUGAAUUUAGCUGAAACUGGAAGCCAAUUCGGAUCCUAUGUUCCGGGCGCCCAGAAGUGGGUCCGGAAAUUCUACAUCGUGAAUAUCGCUUGCUUCGACGCGUGGCAGGGUGUAGGUGAGUUUCGUCGGAGCCGUUUAUGGGCGCAGCAGACCGCGAGCGGAGAGUCCGAGGUGUAUGAGUUGUGCAGUCGGGAUGUUCUGGUCGCCCAGAACAUGGUUCCGGGCGCCCAGAAACACCCGAUUCUGCAAGAACACUGGAUAGCAGCUGUUUCUCCUGGGGCUUAUCUUAUUCCUCCCAGCAGCCUAUAUAUACCUUGUAUGCGUCCCCUUUGAGCUCUUUUACCUGUUCUUCACAGAGAACUUAGAUUUUGCUCCCUAAUCCCUCCAAUCUUUCUAAUUUGCAUCAAGAUCCACAUCUCCAAGAAUUUCAAGGUGCUGAUUCUGCAGUUCUUCAGCGACGACCUCCAGUAUUUUGGCUCGUGCGCGAUGUAGGAAGGUCGGAUUUUGACGAAACUUGGUUUGCUGGAUUCUAGACUUCCAGAGAAAUCCACGAAGGCCUGAAUUGUAGAUUUUAGAUGAGGUUAGCUUGGUCGAACUGAGAUUUUUCUGGACUGCUGUUGACUUUGAGCUGAAAAUUGGGAUUUUGAGCUUUUCUUAAUGCUAACUUUGUAGGCAGUGGGAUUUUGGACCUGAGAUUGAUCACCCAUCAGUAUUUGCUGGAUUUGGAUCUGUCCUCACCCGAAUUGGAGAUCAUUAGGUAAGUUUUGACAUUGGAAUUGAGAUAAUUAAGCUUAAGUGCUGAAAUUUUUGGUAAAUUGAUGGUUUUGUUGGAUUUUUGGGUGAAUUGUAAUGUCCAGAUUUUGAGGGAACUUGUUGCUGGUUUGGAGGUGUUACCAGCUGUGUUACUUGUGAUCCGAGACCAUCUUGCUGCCAGGAAUUGCACUAGAGGUGGGUUAAUCAUCGGUUUACUCUUAAGUACCUAUAUAGUCGACAUGUAUUCGUGAAAUUAUUUUGUGUGUCUCAAUUGCUCGGUUCAUUGAUUUAGUAUGGUUAAUAAUCUGAAUUGGAGCCUUGUUUAUUAUCUUUGGAUAUAUAUAUAUAUAUAUAUAUAUAUACAUGUUGGACUUGAAUGAGACUUAGGACAAAACUCGCGAUUAUGAUCGUCAUAUGCUUAACUAUCUGAUUUAGCCCUAGGGGCCGUUGUAUUAUUUUAUACUGUUGCAGUAUCUUCAUAGUGAGUAUUCCAGGUGGUUUAGUUUUCAGUUACGCUCGUGUUGGAGAUGCCGAGUGUAUUUUUACAGUAGCGUUCAGACUGUUCCAGACUAUUGGGUGCCGUUGAGGUUGACGGUGGACCCGUAUCGUCUUUUUGGCAUUAGAUUAUGCCGAGGGCACGUUACCUGUUGGUUGUUAGACCAGUUAGAGUCGGUUACUUGACUUAGCCUGUGAGAGCGGUAUGAACUUGACAGAGAUACUUGUAAACUCAUGGGUCGCUCCCGCGAAUGCCAUUCCGGAAUGAGGUUUCAGUGCGAUGAGUGUCGCAGUUUCUGUUGGACAGUUCUUGAGCCGGCUACCCUCGGGGUGGUGUACGGCGCAGCUAGAUACAGGUAGGGUGGGUCCGUUUUGGGCAGCCCGGGUGAGAUAGUGAGUGACGCUUUUCCCUACCUUUAGUGAGGUUGUGACGUGAGUGGAGUCUUAGCCAUUCUGUUGGACCUUUUCUGGAACCGACUACUCUUGAGAUACGGUGUAGUCUAAUUAGGCGAGACGGGUGUAUUCACAGUCUCUAGAGAGUUUUCUCUGCCGGUUACUCUUGAGAUACGGUGUAAUCUAGUAGACGAGACGGGUGUAUUCACAGUCUCUAGAGAGUUUUCUCCGCCGGUUACUCUUGAGCUACGGUGUCACCUAAUUAGAUGGGAUGGGUGUAUUGACAGUCCCUAGAGAGUUUUCUCCACUAGCUACUCCUGGAGUAGGUUACGGGUUCGAUCCGACAGGCGGGACGGGUGUGUUUACAGUCCCUAGUGAGAUAGAGUCAGUUGUGACUUUUACUACAGUUGGUUAGUGUAGAUCAUGCUAGUGUAGCGAUAUGUAGCUAUAGAUUUCUUUCCAACUUUUCCUGCUAGCCUUGUUACCUCCUGUAGACUUAGUGGGUGGACCGAUGAUUGUUGAGGGCGGCACCCACUGAGGACUACUUGUUUCUACAGUAAUUCUCACGCCCAGUUGUUAUCCCGUUUUUGCAGAGCCUUCGUCUUCGGCUGCUGCUGUUGCUGAUCAGGAUCGAGGCAAGGGCGUCGCGAGUUAGAGCCCUACCCGACGAGCCGAGCUAGAGGUGCCCUUCUGCAGGUAGUUGUUUUGUUGGAGUUUAUGUACUUACCUAUCUUUAACUCGCCAGUGCGGGUAGUUUUGUAUCUUGGAUUUUGGUAUAUGUAUAUGGAACUCGGUUUGGUUCUCUUCUGUUUCUUCUAGCAGCUCUAUACUACUGUUUGUAGUAUUGUAUGAUUUACAGGUACAGCUAUCGCUUCGUAUAUAGGAAAAAUUUCUUUGUAUACGGCAGAUUUGUCGGCGCGCCCGGGGAACGAGUAAUCCGGGGCGUGACAUUUAAAUCAUUUGACGGUUAUUCGAUACAAAAUUUAAGCUAAUUACCUAUAUUUAUAUAAAUUUAUAGUACAUAAUAAAUUAAAAUAUAUUAAUUAUAUAUAUAAAAAUAAACGAUGUACUUAAAUUUUAAAGUUAAAAAGUUAUUAACGGACUCAAACUAAAUAAAUUAAAUAGUUAGGUAGCACAAUCAGAACUUUAAAGAUUUGAUAGUGAAACUUAUAUGAUCAAUAUUUAAGAUAAGCUCUAUAUAUUUUCUCCACCUUUUAAUUAUUCCAUCACCUGCAAAAUGGUGUGAAAAGAAUAGCAAGCCAUGAGUCAUAAUUUAUUCAUUUGUUUCCUCCCUUACUAAUAAGGGUAUAUUUGGUUCGUGAUUGGAAUAGAAAUGAGAAAUAAAAUUAUAUUAUUUUGAAAUGAAAAAUAAAAUGACAAAUCAUUCAAGAAUAUUUGAUUCAUUAUUGGAGUGAAAAUUUAAAAUUUUUUAAGGAGGGUUUUAGUUAAAAAAAAGAAAAGUGAUGAAGGGAAGGGAGGGAAAGUGUUGGUGAAAGAGGAUUUUGAAUAGCUUACUUUGAAAUGGGUCAAUCCAGGAUUAAGAGUUGUAUUGAGCCAUAAGUGGAUUUGGCUAUUCGCAUUCUAAAGUGGAAUGAAAAUUAGAAUCCGAUUCCUAUAAAACAAACGACAAUUAUCUGAAUCAAUAAAUCUCAUUUCGAUUCCAUCGCCUAAAGUUUUCGAACCAAACAUGCCCUAAUUAAAAGUCUUGUUUUCUGUGAUUCCCUUCAUUUUGAAACCUAUCAUCACAAAUUAUUCAACAAUUAAUAAAUAUUAGGUUUUUUUUUUUUAGCUAUUUAAACAAUAAUUUAAUAUUUGAGUUUUCUUAACUUUUCAAUGUUUUUCGCAAGCCUUUGGUAAUCUAAACCACCCAUAAAUUUAAAUAAUUAUAACCUAAGCAAUAAGUAAGGAGCUUGAGCUCUAUUUUUUUGUCCACUCAAAGGAUUAAACUCUUUAUCUCAAAAGACGAUUUUAAGGGCAUGUUUGGUUUAUGAUUGGAAUAGAAAUGAAAAAUUAAAUUAAAUUGUUUUGGAAUGAAAAAUAGAAUGAUGAAUCAUUCAAAAAUAUUUGAUUCAUUAUUGGAAUAAAAAUUUAGAAUUUUUGAGAGAGGGUUUUGAUUAAGAGAGAAGAAAACAAUGAAGGGAGAGGAAAUAGGUGUUUGUGAAAGAGAAUUUUGAAUAGUUUACUUUCAAAUGGACCAAUCCAGAAUUCAAAGCAGGAUUGGACCAUAAAUGAAUUUGAUUAUUUCCAUUCCGCAGUGGAAUGAGAAUUGAAAUCCGAUUCUUAUAAAAUAAGUGACGACUAUUGCAGCCAAUAAAUACUAUUCCGAUUCCAUACUUUAAAAUAUGUGAACCAAAUUUGCUCUAAAAGUGACAAAUGUUUGACUAACUAGUAGUUGUUAUAUGGCCUGCUUGGUUUGAAAAGCUAGAAGUGACAUAGUUUUAUUGGUACGUAAAAUAACAAUAUAAAUAAAUACAUAUUAAAAUUCAAGAUCAUAAAUAAAAUAAAAUAACUCACAGAGCGUCGUAGAGAAAAUUUUUUUAAUCAAUCUAUAAAAGCGAGAAAUCCGAUUGUAAUCUGAUUGCCACCAAUCGAAUUUUGAUAAUUUAAUUUAUUCUCCUUUUUCAGACACUCUCCCGUAUGGUGUGGAGUAGCUGGUACUUUUUUUUAUCAGAAUGCACAUAAGAAGGUGGCAGUACUAAUAACUUUUUAUUAGACUCCAUAUUAACUUUGAUGGAAAAUCUGAUUAGGAUCUAUUUAAUUUAAAUAGAUGAAAAAGGAUAAAAUAUAUCAUAUUAAAUAAUUCUAUAUCUAUUAAAUUAAUAUUUAAAUAUAAUUAAUUGAGUCACUUUCUAAAAAUCCUAACAAAAACAGCGCGCGCGCGCGCAUAUAUUUUUCCCCUACUUUGUUAGGGCCCCUCAAAGCUACGCAUGUCAUACCAGAAAACUUUUUCCUAAAUAAAUCGUGCAUCUCAAUUAAUUUUUUUUGGCUCAAAAUAUAUUAACUCAUCUCUCUCCCUCUCUCUCCCUCUCUCUCUCUCUUUAAAAGUCAAGUCUUUCAACAAAGGCGUGUGGAAAAAAAGAUCUUAAAUUUUCCAUAGCAUGAAAGUUCUCUCUCUCUCUCUCUCUCUCUCUCUCUCUCUUUUUAAAGUCAAGUCUUUCGACAAAACAGUGUGGAAAAAAAAAAUCUUAAAUUUUCCAUACCAUGAAAGCUCGAGUAGGAAAUAUGAAAUUUCGAUGCAUGUUAACAUUAUACGGCAUGUUUCAAUAACGUCAUAUUUCUUUAGCUUCCGUUUGGUAACAAAAUAUCUGAAAAAUAAUAUUUUUUAUUUUUAUUAUUCAUUCAAAUAAAAUAAAAUUUAUCAGGUAUAAUUUAUUCUAAUCAAAGCGAAUUAUUUCAGUUGAUCCUAAAAUAACCCGUUAAUUAUACUCUUCCCCACCCCUGGAAUAAAAUUUAUUCUUGGCGAAUUCAAGGGUGGGGCAAUAAACAAAUGAUUUUUUCCUUUUCUUUUUGACACCUCGAUCCACACAUCCUCUAUUUAUGAUGCCUCGCCCUACACCCCCACUUUACUCCAUCCUUCCAUCUCAUUUCUAUAUAUAGUAUUUACUAGUAUAUAUAUUAUUAGUAUAAAUUUAAUUACUGUAAUAAUAAUCGACUGUCUCUAAAGCAAGUGACAAAGGGCUUGGUAGUUGGUACCUUAGGUCCCAAGUUCGAAUCAUAAUUGAUUCACAUUUUCAGUUAAUUUAUUUCUAAGUAAAAUAAACAAAGUGGGUAGCCUACAUAAUAAAGAUUAUUUUUUAAUCAAGUUGAUUAAUAAAUUACUUUUUACAACUAUUGAAAAAAUAUUUUUCAAUUUUUCAUGUGCUAUAUAUUCCAUAACAUAUGCUAUGAAUGUGAGACAUUCAGAAGGGCAGAAUUGGCAUUUAAAAAAAUUCAAUUAAUUUUUUUCACUAUUCUUUUCUUCUUUCAAAAAAUUAAACAAACAUCACAUUGCUUAUACCCUAACAUAAGUUAAUAUAAAUCCAAACAAAAAAUUAUUAGUAUUCCUCUCUAUUCUAGAAUAUUGAGAUAUACCAAAAAUAAAAAAAUUUAUUCCAUGUGACAUAAUUUCAUUGCCAAACAGAUUUACUAAGAAAAUAUAGUAAUUUAUAGAUAAAUUGAGAAGUAUAAUCAUUAGGGAUAAGAUAAAAUUGGAAUAAUAUCUAACAUUACAGACCAAAAAAAAAAAAUAAAAAUAAUAGUAGGUCCCACCGCCCUCAAAUAAAUAUGGUACAUCCAUGUGGAUUUAGUAAUGAGAAUUCAUGUAUAGAAGAUAUAGAGGUAUAGAGGUAUAGAUUGUAGCAUUAAACUUAGGUUGGUGGUUAGUAAUAAAUAUGGUACCCAAGACCCAAGUUCCUAGAGCAAGUGGCAAAAGGCUUGGUGGUUGGUACCCGAGACCCAAGUUCGAAUCCUAAUUGAUUCACAUUUCUAGCUAAGUUUAUUUCUAAAUGAAAUAAACGAAGCGGAUAGCGUGCUAUCUAUCUCUCUCAAAAAAAAAAGAAGAAAAAAAGCAUUAAACUUAGGUUAAAAUCGAGGAUGUGGAACAUAGAGACAUAUGGACAUCUAGACAAAUAUAGACUAGAAGAUAAGAAGGGAACUUGUAAGUGGAUUUAGUGGAUAACACUAGAAGUCAUGAGAACUUAGAAUAUAAAAUGGAUACAAGUUGCGACUUUCUACAAGUGUCACAAAGGAGACGCCAAUUUUUCUCGACUCCCUACUCGAUAUCGGAAAAAGCCGAUUCCUCUCAACUCCCUCCCAUAUUUGGAAAUGUUGAUUUCCUUGGACUUCUAGUACCUAUCGAUUGGAGAGACGCUGAUUGCUUUCGACUCUCUAUGAAUUGUAUUGUAAGCAGUGAAACCAAUCCAAGAGUUUGGUUAAAGAUAAGUGAUAGUUUGGGACAAACAUAUAAUUCGAUAACUAAACCCAAAACCCUAAAUCCUAACAACCCAAAAACCCUAAAAUCCUAACAACCCUAAAACCCUAAAAUCCUAAAACCCUAAGGCUCCGUUUGGUUCGGAUAUAAGCAAGAAUUAGUUAUAUCGGGGAUAGGUACAAGAAUGGAUUUUCGUAGGAAUAAGGGUAUUUUUUUGUUUGGAUGAAAAAGUGAGUAUAAACUGGAACUAGAAAAAUUAUGUUUGGAUAAAAAUCUGAGUAUUACGUGGAAUAAUUGGUAGUUAUAGAUAGAAAAUAAUAGUUUUACCUCUAUAAUUGAAUUUAACAUUUUAAACUAAUAAUUUUAAAUUAAAAAUUUUAACUUUUAAAUUUUAAAAUUUGAAAUUAAAAUCAAAAUUUUUAAUUUUCAAAAUUUAAAUUUUAAAUAUCAAAUUUUAAAUUUAAAAUCAAAUUUAAAUUUGAAAGAUAUAAAAUAUAAAAUUUUAAAUUUUAAAUCUAAAAAAUUAAAUUUAAAAUUUAAAAAUUACAAAAAUCAAAUUUAUAAUUUAAACAUUAAAAUUUAUAAUUUAAAAUUAUAAAUUUAAAUUUUAAAAAAUUAAAUUAUAAAUUUUAAUUAAAAAUCUCUCUCUCUCUCUCUCUCUCUCUCCGGGAGGGGUGGAACAAGUGUUCCACCCCUUGUUCCACCCCUUGGGGUGGAACACUUGUUCCACCCCAACUUGGUACAAUACCACCCCAACCUGGUACAAUACUAGGUUGGGGUGGAACAAGUGUUCCACUCCCCGCAAAUUGUGUUUGGGUACAAGAGGGGGAUAACCUCCUUAUCCCCCCUCUUGUACCCCAUUCCAAACGGGGUGUAAAAGAUCCUAAAACUUCAAUAUACUAAAACCCUAAAAAUCCAAAACCCUAACACCCCUAAAAUUCUAAAACCCAAAUAUCCUAAAACCCAAAAAAAUUCUAAACCCUAAACCCUAAACUCUAACAACCCUAAAAGCCUAAAAUCCUAAAAACCUAAAUAAUCCUAAAACCCCAAUGUCCUAAAACCUUAGAAGCCCUCAACCCUAAAACCCCUAAAAUUCUAAAUCCCUAAUAUCCUAAACCCAAAAAGAACAACCCUAAACCUUAAAACCCCUAAUAUCCCAAAACCUUUAAAUCCUAAAUCCUAUAAUUCUAAACUCUAAACCCGAAAAUAUUUCAUUGGCGAAACGAGCAAACGACCAAAUUUUAAACGGAGUUAAUUAAUGAGAGUAAUUCGAUAGUCUCAUGAAAUUAAAAGAGUAUUUUUUAUAUUGAUAAUUUUUUAGAAAUAUCCAUCUAAUUAGGGAUAACCGAAGAGUACUCAGAAAAUUAGCCCAAAAUCUCUUUCUUUAAAAAUAUCAGAUUAUAUAAAAAUAAAAAAUGGCAAUGAUAUGGGUACGGUAACUUUCAUUGGAAGUGGAGAUGGUUAAACCUACUAUCUAUGGUUAAACCUAUUAUCUUAUGUAAUUAGAGGUAGACGGACAGAAGAGUACUCUGCAAAGUUAACUCAAUAUUUUUUUUUUUUCCUUCAAUAUACCUAAUUAUAUAAAAUUACUAUUCAAAAAAAUAAAAAAAGGGCAAUGUUUAGGUUACGAUUGUUUUUAUUGAAAGUGGAGAUAAAUAAACUUGUUUUUUUUUUGCAGUAAAGGAUGAUGAAGCGAGUUAAAAAUUAUUUUCAACCUAAAAAUAAGCUAGAGGUGCGUAAAUAGACCCUUGAGCCGCAAAUAAAAAAUUUUAAAACUUCGAACGACUCCAUGUAAAUAGGCGAGAGUUCUGAGUGUGGGAUGCACAUAAACCAUCUAACAUUUCUACUCUAUACCAAUUCCGUGAACCCAAACUUCAGACCAUGCCAUCAUCUAUUCCUAUCCUCCUCCUCCCCGUCCUCUCUUUCCUUUCCCUUCUUGCCAUUACCUUCUCCUCAUCCGAUGAUCCCUCAAUCAAUUGCUCUUCUUCCUCCACCUGCGGCGGCGUCAGCAUCUCCUAUCCGUUCUGGCGCUCCGACGGUCCUCCGUCUUUCUCCGCCGUCCACUGCGGCUACCCCGGAUUCGGGAUCGCCUGCGAAUUAGAAGACAAGCAGCAGCCUAUCCUCCAGAUCGGUUCCGACCACUACUACAAGGUCACCAAUAUCGAUUACACCAACCGCACCAUCAACCUCACCGACAUGGACGUCGUCCUAGCGACCCCCGACACGA